rnacentral:lncRNA from 1 species
UCGAAUGUACUAGUUCACCCGGAUUGUUUUACCAUGGCUGUUGCUUUUGACGUGGCCAUGUCCAAGGCUGUAAUUUGAAAUUUUUACCAUGGCUGUUGUAUUGACGUGAUCUUGAGGUCCAAGGCUAUAAUUUGAAUUCAUGCCGUUCUUCUGAAAGUUGUAGAAUGCAUUGUUCUUUUGGGGGGACAAUAUAGAUAAAGCAUUUUCAGAUUUUUUUUAUUUAUUUAUUUUUAAUCUGUGAGCAUGGGUCUGACAGUUGAAAUCCUCGUGGGAACCUCUUAGGCAAACAUGUUCCACAGAAAGUGAUCAAAUGAGAGGAAGUGACAUGGACCCAACUAAACAAUGAGAUGAGAUGAUAUGGAUCCAACAAAUAAAAUGAGAUCAACUGAAGAAUGUUUGUGACUUUACAUUUGAGUUAUAGAUAAUUUCUCAACAUUAUCACGUUCAGAAUGACAAUAUUUGAGUAAUUUUAUUUUAGUCAUUACAAAAUAUUUAUUUAGUCUUAAAAAAUUGUGACUGCUUCAAAUAGGCGUGUGCACUAGCAAAAUCAUUUCCAAGUACAUAAAUUUUCUUGAUCCCUUCUACUUUGAACAAUUGAUUUGAUACUUUUUAAUGGAAUUAGUAAGCUUUCAAAAUUAAUAGCUAUUAAACUCAACUAGAUGGCUGAAAAAUUAGAAAUUUCAAGUUUUAGAAGAUAAAUUAAUAAAUGUUAUUUUAUAACAAAGCUAAUAAAAAAGAUGUAUGUGCAGGAAUUAAUAUAAAGUUUUAUUCUUUGAUUAGGUUUAUCAUUUAAAAGCUUGAUCAUUUGGUUAAAUCUACGUCUCAAUUUUUAUUUUUUAUUUUUUAUUUUUGUAUAUUUUACUAUCAGGUUUUCAAUUUUCACAUUUUAUCAUUCAGCCCCUUUUUUAAAUAUUUUACCAUGUGUUAAACACUUUUCACCCAAUUUUUUUAUUGGGUACCAUUAACAAAAUUUUACAAAUUCUUGAAGCAGUAAAAAAAUAUUCAAACCUUAGGAAAAAAAAUGUAUUCAUUGUGGAGCAGCGGUGCUCAAUUUGGUUUGAGGAAGAUAGGCCAGCAACUGAAUAUGUGUAAAAGUAAACUUGGAGGUUGGUCGUUGCCAUCUUUUCUCAGCAUAAUUUAAAUUUAAAUAUUGAAGCAAAACAGAAAAGAACGCACCAAAAGAGCUUAAUGGACACCUCUCACAUCAUGGAAGUGCCUCCUUCUAACAUCCAUUGGGCAAAUUCUUCCUGCACAUUAUGUAUGGUACCAUGAUGUGAGAGGUAGGAAACACAGUGUGCAAGAAGAAUUAAAGUUAGAGGACAAUGCAACACUACGGUUCCUGCACACUAUAGUUUUUGCACAUUAUGUUUCCUACCUUCAAAUACAAGUUUAUUCAAAUAUGUUUUUUAGAUUUAAGCUACCCGGUUUACAAGAGCUCAUCAGGAAGUAGUUCCACUUCUACCUUUGGUAUGAUGAUGCCAAGAUUGCACGAUGAUGGAAAAGCGUCAAGUUCUGGAAUCCAUGAAUGAAUCUUCCCACAGAUUGACAUAUUUGCUAUAAGCAACACUAAAACAAGUCCCCCUAGAAGAUUAAUAUCUAAGAACUCAGCAUUUAAAAAUUAUUAGCUCAGCUAAUAUGAAAUAUUAAAUAGUUUGAAUUCAAGUACUUAACAAAAAGGCUGGUUGAUUGAGCCCUUUAUUUAAUGCAUACAUACAUAAGCAUAAAAGUGCACUAGAUUGACUUGAGAAACAGUAUGAAUGCAGGAAGGUUAUCGAGAAACAAAGUAAAAAUUGCACCAAGAACAAAUAUCAAAAUAAAAGCAAACAUGAUUUUAACAAUAUAUACAAAGGUGAUUGGGUUGGAUACGCUCCUUGCAGUACCCGGGACGCCUGCAACCUGGGAUAAGAAAGUCAAAUACGAGGAAAAUAAGCUCAGCCGUCAGCAGCACUUGAAAUGGAUACAAAAAGUUACUACAUAAAAAUAGAUGUUUGCUUUUAAAUAAUUUGAUUAAGGUAAAAUUUUCAUUACAUUUAGUUAAAUAAAUGUUUAGUAUUUUGUUCUCUCCUAUUAGUAUAUACUGAUCUGCACGGUUAGUAUUAGUAAUGACGGUAGCGUUUGCUUUUAGACAUUGGUAUUGUUGCAGUGUGGUUGGGAGCCACUCAUUCUCUUCCUAGACCUCUCUGUACUGCCUUAUCAUUAAUGAAAUUGCUCAUUCAGUCUUAAACACUAAGUUUCGUUUUUUUCAAAAUCCUCUAUUUAUGUUGUCAAGAGAUUGUUCUCAGCUUUCUCUCUGUCAUAGAAUAGCUUCUUGCAACAUCCAUUCAUAUCCAUCCAUUCUUGACUCCAUAUUCGUGUUCACCAUACCCCUCAAAUUGGACCACAAUGCCGAGAAGGUUGUUCUAAAUACCAGUUGAUAAAACUGAUAUUAGAAUAGGAAAGAAAAUAUACGAUCUUGAAUUUUAUUGCCCUCCUUAAGUUCAAAAUGUGGGAGGAAUGAAGUCAAGGAAUAAGAAGAAAACUGCAGUACACAGUACAAUCAGAGGUUAUUCAAUAUAUCAAACCUAUCAAAGAUCAUGAUAGAUGACAUCCUCCAAGAAGAAGAAGGAUUCUACAAGGUUAGAUGAAGCCUUCCGGGAGUAUGAUACUACAAGGGUAAACAAAAUCGCUAAUCAAUCACAUCUUCUAUAGCUUGUUGUUCGUAAUAAUAGAAGCUUGCAGCAGAAAGAAACAAGAAAAAGAUCAAGAAAAACAAGAAGAAUGUCAUAGUAUAUUGGUUUUAAGUGGGGACGACAAACAAGAACAACAAGUGUUAAGUGAGUGUCUUGCCACUGAAUUUGAGAUCAAGACACUAGGGAGGCUUAAAUAUUUUUUGGGAAUUGAAGUGGCUCAUUCCAAGAAAGGGAUCUUCAUAUCUCAACAGAAGUAUAUUACUGAUUUGCUCAAAGAAACAAGAAAGACAGACUGCAGACCAACAAGUACUCCAGUUGAUCCAAAUGUAAAAUUGGGAAGUAUGGAGGAGGAUAUUGCAGUGGACAAGGAAAUGUAUCAAAGACUUGUGGGCAGACUUAUCUACUUAUCUCAUACUAGACCAGACAUUGCUUUUGCUGUAAGUCUAGUCAGCCAAUUUAUGCACCAACCAAAGGAAGCUCAUCUACAAGCUGCCCUUAGGAUUGUUCAGUACUUAAAAGGAACCUCCGGAAGAGGAAUUUUGUUCAAGCGAAACAAGAGUGUAAGUCUUGAAGCAUAUACAGAUGCAGACUAUGCAGGGUCAGUUGUAGAUAGAAGGUCAACCACGGGAUACUGCACCUUCCUCGGUAGAAACUUAGUCACUUGGAAGAGUAAAAAACAGAGUGUAGUGGCUAGAUCAAGUGCUGAAGCAGAAUUUCGUGCAAUGGCCCACGGAAUAUGUGAACUUCUAUGGCUGAAGAUUAUAUUGGAAGACUUGAAGAUAAAGUGGGACGAACCUAUGAGGUUAUAUUGCGACAAUAAAUCUGCAAUUAGCAUAGCUCACAACCCGGUUCAACAUGAUAGGACUAAACAUAUUGAAGUUGAUAGACACUUUAUCAAGGAAAAACUUGACAGUGGCAUGAUUUGCACACCAUAUGUGUCCACUCAGAAUCAACUUGCGGACAUCCUCACCAAGGGCCUGAACUGCAGUAAAUUUGAAGGGAUUAUAUCCAAGCUGGGAAUGGAAAACACCUAUUCACCAGCUUGAGGGGGAGUGUCAAAAACCAUGAUUGACGUGGUAGUAAUUGUCAUGAUAUAUUUUAGGAUGUUUUUAUAUUUGAUGGGUUGUAUUUAUGCAACAGUUACGAGCUGCAUUUAUUAGAUUUAUUUAUGUUGAUUGAUCCCGUAAUCAUAGGGAUCUGAUCCUUAGAAUUAAGAGUCUGCAUUUCCUAAAAUAUGCAGCUAACCCAUGUAUAUUUAUAGAGGUUAAUAACCUCAGAAUGUGAAUAAGAAAGAAAUAAUAUUCCUUCCAAAUUUGAGAAUGUUAAUAACAACAAAUCCAAUAAUUUUCUAAAAAACCCAUAAACUUGUAAACUUAUUGCUUAAGUUUUUAUUAUGAUUAUAAAAAUAAGGAACAAAUCUAUGAUUACCACUUUUCGCUUUUUGGAUGUUAAAUAGAUAGAUUAGACUCAUUUUGUGUUAGUUGACAAUGACAAUGUGUUAUUUGACCGUUUUAAAACUAAUAUGUAUAUACACGCUGUGUCCCGGGUCCUAUAUUUUUUCUGUAUAUGUGUCCAUGUCGUAUCCGUAUAUGGGCUUAGAAGUUGGUGACUCACUCCUUUUCUCUUCAUACAUAAACCUUUCAAUACAAGCUUACAUUAAUGAAAAUUCACACACCCACUUUUAAACACUAAGUUUCAUUUUCUCAACCAAGGUUAUCAAACUCUUGGGUUAAUUCGUAACUCUUACAAGUAUAUGAUCAUAGAUAGAGAAAACGAGUUAACACACUAUCAAACCUUUUCUGAGUAAACAUAGGUAAACACUUUAAACCCGUGGUGAUCACACACAAACUCUCAAGUAAAAAAAACUUAUACCCAACAAUAACAGUAUUUUAUUAGACUCAAAUUAUUUGAAGAAAUUAACUCCUUUUAGAAAAUGGUUUUCACAUCAAGAACUUAUGCUUUAUGAAUUUAUAAAUUCUGUAGUUAUUUAUGCAGUUUAAUCUCGUUUACUUAUAAUGUAUUAUCACUUUUUAUUAUUUGUUACUUCUAUUAUGGUGCGGAAAUAUUGAAUUAUUGUUGUAUAAGUAAUGUAUAAUAUAUAUAUAUAUAUAUAUGUGUGUGUGUGUGUGUGUGUGUGUGUGGGCAAAAUUUACAUAGUACUUCUUCCUUCAGAUUAAAAAUAAACUUACCAGCCCCGGUGCCUGCAUUCGCAUCUGUUGAAAUUGUCCAUUCCUCACUUCUGAAAACAAUAAAACAGAACGUUUAAAUAAUUAUACAUUCUUUUUACUACCAUAUACAUUCAUAAAAUUAAAACAUACUGACAUGAUAAAUCGUUUUCCACAUUCCUCGGGUUAAAUUUUGUUUUACAUGCAAAAUCUUUUAACUCGUUCUUAUGAAAUUACACUAACGUCUCUUUUAAUUACAAAUACUACUAAACUGCUUUUAGACCCUAACAAGAAUAGCUUCACUUAACAAUCAACUUUAACCAAAAUCGAUUUCAUUCAAAAUAUAUUUUUCAAAUGCUCACCCAAAUACUCUGUUAUAGAAAUAAGGAAUUGGUCCCAUAUAAUUAGAAAUAUUGAUAUAAUUAUAAAAUGAUGGACCUAUUGUCAUUUGUAAAGGUAUUAUACUUAUAACCCUUCUGCCUACUAUACAAAUCUCAGUUAUCAUAGGAUUUCCCCUAUAUAAUAUAGUUGUUUGUCCUCGUUAUCUUCUAUUCCUUUUCCUCAGUCUCCACGUGAAGUUUUAUAUCACCUAGAGUGGUUGCAACCAAUGAUUGAUGACAUGUGUGCCCUUCAAAGUAGUGGUACUUAGGAGUUGGAAUGAUACGAAGUGAUGACGGGGUGAUGUAUUUAGGAGUUGGAAUCAUUCUUUGUUCUAUUGUUAUUCUCUCCAAGGAUCUAUUUAUCUCAUAGUAUAUGUGGAUGACAUUGUCAUCAAAGGUAAUGACAAUGAGGGUAUUGUACAAUUAAAAUAAUAUAUUGCUCAAAAGUUCCAAACAAAGAUCUUGGACACUUUAGGUAUUUUCUUGGUCUAGAAGUAGCACAUUUCAAGAAUGGUUUGAUGAUAUCUCAAUGAAAACAUGCUCUCGACAUUCUAGAAGAAACAAGAAUGAUAAAUACUAAGCCUGUAGAACACCAAUGGAUCCAAGUGUUAAAUUUUAAAUUGACUUAAGAGAACCUUUUUCUGAUCCUGCGAGGUACAGAAUUUUAGUUGAUCUUAAACACCUCAUUAUUACUCAUCCUGACAUCACUUUGCAGAGUGAGUGUAGUAAAUCAAUUUUUAAAUUGCCCUUCUCAACAUCAUUGAGAUGUAGUUGUACGAAUCCUAAACUGUACUAAGAAGGCUCCUAGAAAAUGAAUCAUUUAUGAAAAUAUGGAAAAUACUCAUUGUUGGUUAUUCUGACACUAACUGGGCAUGGUGACCAAGUGGUAGACACCCGAAUUCAAGAUAUUGUGUUCCUUAUGGAUGUAAUUUAAUAUUUGGAAAAAAAAAAUAAGAAAAAAAUGUUGUGGUAAAGUCAAGGGCAAAAUGUCGUGAACUCAUAUGGUUAAAACAACUCAUGAAACUUAAAUUUGGAGAAAUUUCCGAAUGCACCUUGUAUGUGACAACAUUACAUAUUGUUUGUAAUCCUGUCUUUCAUUAAAACAACAUUACAUAUCGUAUGUAAUCCUAUCUUUCAUGAAAGACCAAACGUAUUCACCAAGUCUCCAAGAGAACCACUUAAUGGUUAUAUUUGCAAUAAGAUAGAUACAUAAACUUGAAGGAGAAUAUUAUAAUUAUAGAAAUAAUGAAAUGAUCUUAUAUAAUCACGAGUACUGCUAUAAUUAUAAAUAAGUAACACAUCCUCUAUAAUCAUAAAUGUCUAGAUUAUUUUUUUAAUAUAAAUAAAACAGUCAUAUUUGAGAAACACUCGAUAUUAGGUCAAUAUUUUUGUUUUUUAGGAUGCACGUUAGCGAUAUCAAUAACAUCAGAUACUUGGUAUCUUCCUCUUUCAUUUUCUUGAGUUUGGAGAAACAAAUAACUGAACAUUUUUCUGAAAAUCUACUUAAAACAUGUAGGAAAAACUUUCUCAAAAAUACUUUAGAAGAGAAAAAUAAGAAUAAAAAGGUAUUUCUCAUAAACUAAAAUUAUCUUUGCAACAUCAAUGUUUGAUAAGGGAGGUCCUAAGAAACAAAGAGCCUACUGUACUUGCCUGAAGAAAGAUCGGUGAGGGUUACAGUUUGGAGUUUCCAACCAUCACCAAAGUCAGAAAGAAACGAUGUGGGACCAAAUGCAAUGGGUUCUUCUCCGUCCUUCACUGCUUCUAUGUGCGACGCAGGCACCACCUUUCCCUUCAACUUCCGAUUGAUCAGUGCCACCGCAAACCCCGCGUCGGUCCCCAGCGCGAACCGCCGUUUCAUCCCAGAACUUGCGCAACUAACCUCCACGUACUGCUGCUGUUCCGUUUCCACAUAUCAGAAUCAAAUUGAAUCACUAUGGACGUUAACAUAAUCAGAGAGAACGAGAGAGUACAGGAGUUGGAGGAAGAGUUUUCCGCCGUGGGGGUGAUGGCGACGGCGACGGCGACGGCGACGGCGACGGCGACGGCGACGGUGACGGUGACGACUGAUUAGCCAUUUUUGUUCCGUAUUUCUCACACCCACUGUUGUUAUUUGGGAAUUAGCUUUGGAUCGUAAAUGCCUGAUAUACUCUAACCUCUUUUUUAUUUUGUUUUUGUUUAGGGUUUAUUUCUGUCUUCCUUGUAAAAUUUUUUUUUUUUUCUUCAUUCAUUUUUUGUUUAUUCCUCACAUUUAUAUUUGUAUUGUUAAUUCACCAAACUUAAAUUUCUUUAAAUUUCAUAUUAGCAUAAAAUUAUAAAUACUAUUAAUUCAACCAACUUAAAAAAUAUGUUCAACACAUGUGUUACUUAUUUCUAAGUUAAAACUUACUUAUAUUUAUUUAAAUUCCAUCUUAAAAUUACUAAAAAUAUUAAUUCAUAAUACAAUAUAUUAUAAACAGUUAAAAAAUACGUUAUUUAAAUUCUAUCUUAAAAUUACUAAAAUUACUAAUUCAUAAUACAAUAUAUUAUAAAUAUUUAAAAAUAUAUAUCACCUUUGCAUCAUGUACGUUAAUAAUAAUAAUAAUAAUAAUAAUAAUAAUAAUAAUAAUAAUAAUAAUAAUAAUAAUAAUAAUAAUAAUACAAGUUACAAUUGUAGAAACCACAAAACCAGACUUAAAAAUUCUAAAAUCAAUAUAAUUUGCAGAAGUGAUUAAAAGUAUAAUGUCGAAUUACUAUAAUUGAAGUUUAAUCCUCUUGACGUCAUAUAAAAUCUUAAAUAUAACAAAUAAGUUUUUUAUGUCAUUACUAAGUUAAUAAAUAUUAUAUGAAAUAUAUACUAACGAUUCGAUAAUAUUAUUUAAAACAAGGUAGGUGUAUGCAUUAAGUUGAAGGGCCACACGUUUUUUGUUUUAUUUGAACAUGCUACAUAAUAUUAAUAAAAAAGUUUUAAAACAUUAUCAUAGAAGUUAACCUAAUAUUUUGAAUUUUUUUAUAAAAAGAAAAGUUAUGCUACAAUAAUAUAACUAAUAAUAAUAAUAGUUUUGUAAAUUUAUUUAAGGCUUAAAUAUUUUUUAUUCGCUGAUUUUCGUAAUUUGUAUUUAAUUUGACAAAGUCAACAUAACCAAAAAUAAAUGUGAAACUUUAUUUUCAUCGAAAAGUUAAUACAAUUUAUUACAUGUUGUCGGCAAAACCAAUUAUAGCCUAUGCAUAUCGUGUCUUUGAAUCAUUGGAUCACUGAAAUAUUCUUAUCCUUUUUUUUAUUAAUAAAAAUCAUUAAUACGAAGAAAAUAUUUAAAGAUAAGAAUAAUUUGUUUUUCAAGUUUAUUAUAUUUUAUAUUUAGUUUAGUUUAGUUGUCCAUAUCGUCACCUAGUAAAGUAGACGUGUUCAAUUAAUAGAGUUGUUUAAUCAGUUUGAACUAUAUGUCUAAUGAAUAUAUUUUUUUAGUUACUUAUUUUUUUUAUUAUAAUUUUCGUAUUGAAAAAAAAAUAAUAAUAUGGUUAUCUUGAGGUGAAAAAGAUGGUAUUUUAAGAAAUUAGUUGGCAACUUCAACAAUUUAUUAUCGAGUUAUUGAUAAAAAUUGAGAAGAAAACUAUCUGUAAAAAAUAUUCGAAAUUUAAAUCAUUAAGAAUUUAGAAAAUAUUAAGUAUGACAAUAUAAUAACUAGUACGUUCUUCAUGUGAAAUAAACGUGUAUUUAAAGAGAUUCAUAUUUUUCUAUAAAUGCUUAUUAGUUGUUUUCCAUUUUUUAUGUAAAUAUGUUUUUCAUUUUAAGUCCUUACUUAAAAGUACAAUAAUCUGUUUAUAUUUUGUGAUAAUAGAUUAUUUUAAAAAUUACGCAAUAGUUGAAAAAAAAACAUUAAUAAAGGAAUAAACAAAUUAGAAUAUUUCUUUCAAAGAAAAGUAUACUUGAAAAAGAAUAAAGAAAGUAUUAUUUUUCAUAAGACGUACCUUAUCGUAUAUUUUGAUGUGACAUGGUUACAAUAUAGUUAUGUAAAAAGAUGAAAUAAAAUUAGGUCUGAUAAGACAGUAGAAGUUAUUGUUUUUCUUCCAAAUUUUCGCCCUAAUAAAAGCUAUGUUAUUAAAUAUUAAUUUACAUAUAUAUAAAUGAUUUUUUUAGUCAAAAAAUAGUUAGUAGAUGAUGUGAAUGUGAUAGAAAUAUUGUCGGUUAGUUUACGAUCUUGGAUUGGUGGGUAUGUCACAACAUCACCAUACAAAGACUAUUUACUUUCUACUUAUAUAUUUAUGGCACUAUAAAACAAUUAAUUACCUCAAAAUUGUGAAAAAGAUAAAUUAAUAUAUAAUUCAUCAAAAUAAUAAUGAAAUCAAAUUUAAAUAUAUUAGAAUGGUUGGUAUAUUUUUACAUAAAAUAUCAUAUAAUAAUAUCAUUUAACUUAUCAUCAUAUUUUAAAUUAUUAAAAUUAUGUUAAAUUUUUAUUCUGAAUAUUCAUUUUCUUAAUUCUACGAUUAUUUCUGUUAAAUAAGUUAGAAGUGAGAGAAUUAAUACUCAUUCUCAAUUACAUGAGUAAUAUAUCUUAAAAUGUAUUUAAAAGAAUGGAAAGAGAAAAACAAUAUUUAAAUUAUCUUAUAUUUUGAUUCUUAGUUGAUAGAAUUCAUUAAAAAAUGACUUGAAAAAGAAUAUUGAAGUGAAUAUUUAUAGCUUUAAUUUAGAAUAAUUUGAAUUUGUGAAAUUUAAUUUGAUGGAAGGUGGUAAGGAAAGUGGAGAAUUUGAAUUUUGUGUUGGAAUAUUGUUAUCAAAAAAACUGGACCAAUAUACUUUACGUCGCUAACUUCUCUUCAUCUUCAUGCAACACAUUUCUUCCACAAAAUUAAAAAAACAUGCUUUUCGAAUAUUUAACAAUCAUUCAACAACAUCAUGCUCAACAAAUAACUCAACUUUUUCAAAAUAAAUCCAUGUAAAAGUAAAACUUAAGUCAAUUCAAGUCUCCUUUCACUCAAAUUUGGAAACACCAACCCAAAAGUUUGAAUACGUAAUAAUAUAUUAAAUUAUAUAUAUAACUUUUACAUUUAAUGUUAUUAUCUUUUAAAUAUAAAAUUUAUUAAUUUUAUGACCAUUUUAUUUUUAUGAUAUGUAUUGAGUGUAAAUAUACACUAGUUCAUCAUUUAAUAAAAAAUUCUUUUUAUUCAUGUAAAAGAAAAAUGAUAAUUUCGUAUAUAUAAAUUUUUUAUAUUUAUUUGAUAUUAUUUUUCAUAAAAUAAUAAUAUUAUAACAUAAUUUCACAUUUAUUUGAUAUAUUAUACAAAGUUAAAAUAAUCAUAAAAUAUAAAUUUUUGUAAUUUUUUUAAGAAAGAAGAAAAUAAAAAGUGAGAAAAAAAUAGUACGAAAUGAAUGUAAAAAAUUUAUAUAUCUCAAAUAAUUAUUUUUCUUUUUUAUAAUGGUUAUCUUUAUAUAUUAUUUGUGAAAUAAAUGUAAAUGUAGUAUUACUACAGUCAAAACCAUGACACAAACCAGAUAAAUUCUUGCUCUACACGUGAAGCUUAUGGUUAUUUUGCAUUCUGACCAUGAUAAUUUCCUGCUGGUCAUAAACCUUGUACGUGUUUUUCUUUGAGUCAAUAAUAUUAUUCUUACCUGUCAAACCUUAUUUCACAUCAGAAAAUGAUGUUACAAUUAUAUGAGAGAGGAAGAGAGAAGGAAAGUGGAGGUUUCACUGCUCUGUACCACACUUUUCCAUUUCGAUCUCACAAAAUUAACAUACAAAUCACAAACACAUUAUCAUCAAACUUUUCCUAGACACAGAUCUUCAACUUCUGAUAAACCACAGAUAAACUGAAUAAGAAUAACUGCAAUUAAAACCACUUUCCAACUUACAAACACAUAACAUAAUUAACCAACAUAAUGUCUUGUACCAUUACAACCAUUAGCCAUCAAGACCACAUUUUUCUUCCUCACCAUUCCUCAUUAGUGCUUCACUACCUAUUCUCCCACAUCCAUCCACAAUUAUAUCAUCACCAUAAAUGCUCUUGCUCAUUAUGUUGAGCUUGCCCUUUCAUUCUAUCCUCCUCUAACAAACCUUUUCCUUACAAUCUACUCUAAUCUCUUUCUCUAUAUCCUUCCCUCCUUCAGAGAUACACACUUGUUCUUUCUCAAAAUCCACCAAUAUCUUGUCUUAAUUCUGUAAAAUGGAGGGGAACUUCAGUUCCUAUAAUCCUCAACUAGCUUCUAGUUUGAAGGAGAGUUACAGUAAGCAGGAGCAUGAUCAUUCAGGGGAGGAUCAUCAUCUCAAAGAAGAAGAUUGUAUGUCUCCAUCUUUCAAUCUGAGCAAUAUUUCUAAGCUCAUUCUUCCCCCACUUGGUGUUUCAAGCCAGAAUCCUGUUAACUCAAAAGGGUGGAUCAUAUCACCAAUGGAUUCCAGAUACAGGUACAACUACCUCAACACUAAAAACACGAUUUUGAAAAACCUUGUGUGUUUUUCAAGGUUGGUUCUGUCAAAUGUCUAUUGGACAGUAUACAUACGAUAUAUAUCAGCUUGUUGAAGUUUUUGACUUUCAAGUUCUUAACUCAGUAAGCCUUUAAAUUGUUUGAUUCUUCAUAGAACUUGGUUUGAAGCACAUACGUAUUGAUUUUGACUAUAAUUAGCUUCAAGAAGAGAAUAUUAUGUAUGAUUGGUGUUUUCAAAUUUAAGGGGAUUAAGUUCUUCAUUUUGGUUUAUGCAUGUGCAGGUGUUGGGAGAGUUUUAUGGUUCUUCUGGUAGCUUAUUCUGCAUGGACUUAUCCCUUCGAAGUUGCUUUCAUGCACAAAUCUUCUAACAUGAAAAUCUAUGUUGCGGACACUGUUGUUGAUAUUUUCUUCGGUAUUGACAUUGUUUUGACUUUCUUCUUGGCUUACAUUGAUCGAACAACUCAUCUACUGGUUCGAGACAAGAAGAAGAUUGUAGUAAGGUUAGUGAAUCACUAAUCUUUGUCUCAUUCUGUUGCAGAAACCAAAUUUGGCAACUAAUGACUUCUGCUUUAUUUCCACAUUUUGAUGUAAACGCUUAAAAUAAUGGAUGGUUAAACUUUUCCAGCGCAUCUAUGGUAUACAAAAAUGGGCGAGAGCAAUCAUUACUAUUUUGUGAUUCUAAAGAAUUUGAAGCCAAGGGUGUGAAGUAAAAGUAGCAUCAGUUUAUUAUAAUAAAAAGUUAAAAAAGUUCAUUCACCAAAUACUAUAUAAUAUCAUGUUAAGAGAGAGUCAGAAAGAACUCGAUUCGGUAUAACAUGUAAAUAUUCUCUCUCCCGAAUGGAUUCUGAAUUUGCUUCCGAAUUACAAUUCCCUUUUGGAGAUAGGCCUAACUUCCACGGAAGUUUGAUAACUUUGAUUUGUGUUAGACCAACUUUUAAGGGGGUUGGCUUUGAAUAAUCAAAUUCAACCAGAUAAAGGUCUUUGUCGCAAAUUCGAUAACGGAUGCACCUGGUUCGAAGUAUAAAAAAUAAAUGAGUACAUAACAGGAAGUCAAAAACUGGGUCCAGUAUUUAAAGCAAUGAGAAGUGGUGAAUGAUUUUUGCAUCACUUUAGUAUUCAUAAAUUUGGAUUAUGUAGCUAGCUAUAAGGUGUGAUUGUUUUGCAAAGUGAAGGAAAAUGAUUACAGUGUUAGAAAUGUUGUGACAGAUACCUGUCUACAUGGUUCCUGAUGGAUUUGGCAUCAACAGUACCAUAUGAGGCACUUGGGUAUUUGUUCACUGGAAAACACAAAGUGGGUCUCCCAUACUUCCUCUUGGGCCUGCUUAGAUUUUGGAGAAUAAGACGAGUCAAUCAGUUCUUCACAAGGUUUUCCCUCUUUCCUUUUCUCAUUAUCCACUCUGCAACUGGGUUGUGUUCUUUAUGUAUUGAUAUUGAUCUAGCUGCAUUCAUCUGCCAGGCUUGAGAAAGACAUCAGGUUCAGCUAUUUCUGGGUCCGAUGUGCCAGGCUUCUUUCUGUAUGUAUAUGUAUUUAUCUUUGACUGGAUGAGAUAAACCACAGAUUGUUUUUUAACGUUGAUGCAUUUGUGUGAAACUGGUGCAGGUAACACUUUUUUCAGUUCAUUGUGCUGGAUGUCUGUAUUACAUGCUAGCUGAUCUUUAUCCCCACAAAGGGAAGACAUGGAUUGGAGCUGUGAACCCAAACUUCAGAGAGACAAGCCUUCGGAUCAGAUACAUUUCUGCCAUGUACUGGUCCAUCACUACCAUGACCACUGUAGGUUAUGGAGACCUUCAUGCCGUCAACACCAUGGAGAUGAUCUUCAUUAUUUUCUACAUGCUCUUUAACCUUGGCCUAACUUCUUACUUGAUCGGUAACAUGACAAAUCUUGUCGUCGAAGGAACUCGUCGUACCAUGGAAUUUGUAAGUAUUGUUCUACAUUUGUCAUGUACAUGCAUUAAAAAUAUCCUUUAUAUAGGUUAUGGAGUUGGAGAUUUUGUUACCGUGUUGUGUUAAAUGAUGAUUUUUUGUCAGUUAGUUAUUUCUGUUAAAAGUUUAAUACUAUGUUUUUCUCAGUUGGUUGUUUCUGUCUUCACUCCCUCAAGAUAUAAAGACUGUGAAUUUUGCUUAUAAUGGCAUAGAAUAGUCUUUACUGUUAAAGUUCUUGAUCUCUUACUUUCUACUCCAUGUUUUAUGCUUUCUUCAGUUCAGAUUGUUGACCACUGAAAGGUCACUUAUCAUGAUGAUGCUGCAAGAAUCAUAUGUAACUGUGACUGAUGUCUGAUGUAAUAACUUCCAUUAUCUGUGCAGAGAAAUAGCAUUGAGGCAGCAUCAAACUUUGUGUGCCGAAAUCGGUUGCCUCCGAGGUUAAAAGAACAGAUCUUGGCGUACAUGUGUUUGAGAUUUAAGGCAGAGAGUUUGAAUCAGCAUCAGCUUAUUGAGCAGCUACCAAAGUCUAUUUGCAAAAGCAUCUGCCAGCAUUUGUUUUUUGAAACUGUGGAGAAAGUCUAUCUUUUCAAAGGCGUAUCAAAAGAAAUUAUUUUGUCCCUGGUAUGGAACUAAACUUGAUUCUAACAGUUGUAUUGUAAGUGCAUAAAUCAAGCAUUGUGCAAGCAAAUUGAUGGGAUGAAUUGUUGAUGUGCAGGUUGCAAAAAUGAAGGCAGAGUACAUACCUCCGAGAGAGGAUGUUAUCAUGCAAAAUGAAGCACCAGAUGAUAUUUACAUUAUUGUGUCUGGAGAAGUGGAGAUCAUUGAUAGUGUGAUGGAGAAAGAGAAAACUUUAGGGACUCUGCAUACUGGGGACAUGUUUGGAGAGGUUGGUGCCCUUUGUUGUAGACCUCAGAGCUAUACCUACAGAACCAAGACUCUUACACAGCUCCUGAGACUGAAAACCAACACCCUUCUAGAAUCAAUGCAGAUUAAAAGAGAAGACAACAUACAAAUACUCAAAAAUUUUCUUCAGGUGGAGUACUACUAUCUUGGCUUGUGAGUUCCAACUGUUAAUGCUUAUGGUUAGUUUCAAUUCUAAAAUAUAAGAAAAUGUUAUGCAAAUGCAGCAUUUCAAGCAGAUUAAGAAUCUGAGUAUCAAAGAUUUGAUGGUGGAGAAUGUGGAAGAAGAGGACCCUAACAUGGCUGUGAACUUGUUAACUGUGGCCAGCACAGGCAAUGCAGCUUUUCUUGAGGAGCUUCUGAGAGCAGGUUUGGAUCCUGACAUUGGAGACUCGGAAGGGAAAACUCCAUUGGUAUGUUCUUGUCUAAUAUGCAUAUUCUUAUUCAAUCUUUUGUAUAUUUCUUUCAACAGUAGCUAGAGAUUUAUUUGUCAAAACUACAACUGUUGUGCAGCAUAUAGCAGCAUCAAAUGGGCAUGAAGAAUGCGUUAAAGUGUUACUAAAGUAUACAUGCAACAUACAUAUAAAAGGUACAAUCUACCUAAAUUUCCAUCUUAAUGGUAUCUCAUAUCCAUGUGCUAAUUUAUAUUAGCAUAAAUUUGCAGACAUGAAUGAUAACACUGCAAUGUGGGGUGCUAUAGCAUCAAAACAUUACUCCAUAUUUCGACUCCUAUUCCAGUUUGCUGCUCUCUCAGACCAGAACACAGCAGGUGAUCUUCUGUGUACAGCCGCCAAAAGAAACGAAUUAACAGUGAUGGCUGAUCUUUUGAAACAAGGAUUAAACGUUGACUCUAAAGAUCGUCAUGAUGCAACAGCAAUCCAAAUUGCUAUGGCAGAAAAGCAUGUGGAAAUGGUUAAGUUGCUUGUCCUGAAUGGUGCAGAUGUAUCUGAAGUACAUAAUGAUGAAUUUUGUUCAUCCACCAUGACUGAAAUGCUGCAUAAUUGUGAAAUUGGACAUAGAAUUAAUGUAAUUGAGUUUAUGCCGGAUGAAGUUGCAUCAAAGGGGGGGAAACAUCAAGAGGAGGAACAUAUGGGAGAAACAAGAUAUGAUGGACCAAAGAUUGCUAGAGUAAGCAUAUAUAGAGGUCAUCCUGUAGUAAGAAGAGAAAAAGGUAUCAUGCAAGCUGGGAAGCUAAUAAGGAUGCCUGAUUCAUUAGAUGAACUCAAAAAAAUUGCAGGUAAAAUUCCAGAUUUCCAUCAAAUUAAGAAAAUCUCCACCAAUAAAAAUUUAAACCCUUUUGUUUAUUUAUUUGUGUAUGUAUGUUCUUGUUCAACAGGUGAAAAAUUUGGGAUUGAUGCGAAAGAUGCAACGGUAACAAAUGAAGAAGGAGCAGAAAUAGACUCCAUUGAUGUGAUUAGAGAUAAUGAUAAACUUUUUUUUGUUGACUGAGCUGAGAUGCAAAGAUGUCAAGUGUAAAUAAAUGAUCUUGCACAACAGAUUUACAUUGUCUUGAUCCUGUAGCCAUAAAGAAAUGGCUUGGUUGGAGAAUUUUUUCAUCAGCUACUUAGUUUAUAAGUCAUAGUUUUUUACUUCUGUUCUUUUUAGUGUUGGAUAUAUUAAAACUUUAGUGAAGGAUAGUUUCAGGUGCAGAAACUCUGUUUUUACCAUAUCUCAUCACUAAUCAAUAUUUUAGUUUAAAUAUGUUUUAAGCACUUAUUAAUAUUGUCAUUUUUAAUGUCUGUAAAAUACUUUUGUUACUUUUUAAAUUCGUGGUAUUUCUUUUUUAUUUCUUAUUGUUGACUGUAUUUAAUUGAGUAUUAAAAAUAGUAAAUGCUAAUUUCGGUGAUGAAUGAUUUUUAAAUUAAGAUAGUCAAACUAUUUUGAAGUUUAUAACUAAUUUAAGUAAUGUAUUUAUGAAAAUGAUAAUUAGAUGUGUAGUUGAUAUAAUUUUACAAAAAUAAUCAUUACUUUUUAUCACAAAAAUAUAUUUUAAUUUUUAAGUAAUUGUAUAUAAUUUCAAUUUUAUAAGACAUUAUCAUUAUUAUCUGAUUUGGAAUCCAUGAAAACUUUCAAAGUCUAAGACACGAACAAAUCUACACAUGAAUGUUGCAAGAUAUAUCAUCCUAAUAAAUAAAAAAUUUAAUGUUCUUUUAUGCCAGAAUCAAUGAACUAAGUUACUGAAACUAACCAUAUAUAUUUGCAGAUAAUAAUGACUAGGUGAUAUAUGUAUAUAUAUAUAUUUAAUUUAGAUGCCCUUAACAAAGAAUAUAUGAUUAACAAGUAGGUGAAAUUUUAUAAUAGAAGAGCAACAUUGAUUAAUAUUUGAAUACUGAUAUGGUAUCCUUUAAGGGUUGCAUUUACCCUUAAAAUCGGGCUAAUGAAAAGGAAAGAGAGAUUAAAGUGUUGUUCUUUGUAGAUAUACUUUGAUUCUCUGUGUUCUUAAAUUCUGCAAUGAGUUGGUGAAAUAAACCAAAGAGAAUAUGAAGCUUGCAUUAAUUUAGUGAUAUGCAUGUUUUUGUUCCAUUCUAAACUUAGCUCUGAAUCUUUCUCUUUCCUUGUUAAACGCCUUUUGAGAUGUGAAAUGAUGAUUUUUGUUUCCAUUAGCAAACUCAUCAGUGAGGAUUUUAGGGUGAGUUUGACUUGAUUUGCUCGCCCCAGAUAAAGUGAAGAUGAUGAGCUUCCAGCUGGCAGAUUUUCUUUGCAAUAAUAAUAAUAAUAAUAACAAUAUCACUAACACAACAUAUGAAAAAAAGGUUGAAAUUGUAAGUGUGAUUCUAAUAUAGAAUGAGAAUAGUUGGAAAGAUGUUUGGCAUUAUAUAUAAUAUUUGAUGCAAAGGAGUGUGGUUUAAUUUAAUGCCCCAUAUAGAAUGUUGGGUCCUAAAGGAGAAAGAAGAAUCUGCAUAGUAAUGUGUAAAAUACUCAGAGCACACACAACCCUAUCAUUCACUUCUCUUUUGAAAAGAACCAAAAUGGAACUAUGCACAACUUUCUUUAAGAAAACAAAACCAAAAAGGUGUAGAAAGAGGAUAAGGAAGAAGCACUCAAUCCAAAAGGGAACCAAAUCAAAAUGGAAAAAUGAGAAGCAGAAUCUCAGUCAAAGUAGUCAAACUUUAACCUCCAAGAAACACAAUCCAACAUAUCGUAUAUGAACAACUCCAAGAUUGUUCAUAUUCCUUUCUACACUUAUGCAUAACGAACACCAAGUUAUAGUCCUUGAAGGAAUAACAAACAAGACACAAAAAAGUUGUCAGGUUAAUUCCAAGGAAACUUUAUUACCUUAUUUUAUCUUUCUUUCUCUCUCUCUCUCUCUCUCUGUUACAAACAAAACAGCAGAUUCCCAAUCAUCCCUUCCACUGUUUGGGAAACAACCAUAAUUGCACCCAACAGGACCCUUUCACCAUAGAAACCUGAGCUCCUAAGCUACGUACCCACACACACUUGUUUGAAAGGCUCAAUCUUGCAAUUAUAUAUAUCCAUCAAUCUCCAUCAACUUUCCCUCACCUAUUGCAUGAUGGGCACUAACUCUUCUGUCACUGGCUUCUACAACUUGCUCACACAAGGACUCAAUGAACUCCAUCAAUCUUUCCUCUCUCCCACCUUCAUGUCCAUCCAAUUCCUUUCACAGGUCAUCUCUUCUCUCCAGUCCUUCCAUUCCCAGCUCACCAUUUUGGUUCGCAAGCUUCGCUUGCCUGUUGGAGGUAAAUGGUUGGAUGAAUACAUGGACGAAAGCUCAAGGCUUUGGGAUUCUUGUCAUGUUCUCAAAUCAGCCAUUUCUGGAAUGGAGAGUUAUUACUCGGCUGCCUCUAACAUAGCUUCUUCUUUGGAUGGUUACCAUCAUUUUACUCCCGAACUUUCACGCCAGGUUGGUAUAUAUACGUAUACUUACUUACCCACAUCACUGAUAUUACAUAUGCAUGUGUUGUUUGAUUCAGAACAUAGAAGCUUGCUUAACAAGUCUGGAAUCUAGUUCAGACAAAAUUACCUCCGAUGAUGUUCUUCUUGUGUUGUAUGUGGUGUGCGAUACAAAAGAAAAGAAAAAAAAGGAAACUUGUUUGAUGGGUCUGUUGUUGUUUGUGAUGCAGGUUGUUCGGGCAAUAAAUGUUUGUCAAAGGGAGAUUCUAGGAUUGGAAGAGGAAAACAAGAGCUUGAUGGAAACAAGGAUUGAACCGUUGUCUCAAUGUUUGAUUCAGAACAUCUCAAUGGAAUCGAAGUUGAAUGGAUUCAGUGGAUUCCGAGGGGUUCUGUAUGCAAUGAGGAGUGUUAGCUCACUGCUUCUGAUGAUUCUGCUUUGCGGGCUUGCAUAUUGUUGGUCCUCCUCUUGCUUUCAACAAGGGUACGAGGAAGAGAUGGUUUUUGGAUCUGGGUUUAUGGUUUCAAUGGCCAUAUUGCAGCAGAAAGUGGCAGAGGAGAUAGACCAGACAGAGGGGCAGCCUGGGAUUCUGCUGUUUGAGUUCCAACAAGCAAAGAGCGCCAUGGAGGAACUGAAAGUUGAGUUGGAGAGAAUAGCAGGUUAUGAAGAACAUUCUGAGAUCCAACAAAAAGUUGACAACGUUAAGAGUUGCUUUGGUUUGUUGAGAUGUGGGGUCGACACUAUAGCGGGGCAACUUGAUGAUUUCUUUGAUGAAAUAGUAGAAGGAAGGAAGAAGCUUUUGGACAUGUGCAGCAAUAGGUAGAAAGAAAGAGAAAAAAAAAAUGGAUAUACGCAGAUAGCAGAAGAGGGAAAAGAAUUGUUAAAAGACCAAACAGUGUCAUCAUCCCCUUUUUUAUGCAUUAAACUUUGGUCUUUCUUUUCAUUUAUUUUAUUUUAUUUUUCAAAUUCCCUUAUUCAUAGUGUAUUGAUUGAUCAUUGAUUAGUGAAAGCUAGACUAUUUGUUAAGCCUUGAAGAAGUUUGAGAUUUGCCAGAAUGUGAUUCUUGCUUUGAAGAAAAGCAACAUUACUAUUUAGUAUUAUUCUUCCAUAAGAAACCAGAAUACUGAGAAAAGCUGGUGGCUUCAUGAGAAAGAAACAGCUUUCUGUGUUUGCACAGAUUGAAAGGAAAUGGCAAAAAAUUCCAAAAUGGUAUUUUGAUAAAAAGCUACUUUCUUUUAGUUUUUGUUUUUUCUUUGGAUUAAAUUAUGCUUUUUCUUUAUCUGCUGGAUCAGAAAGCCAAUGGCAUAUCUCAGUUGUUCAUUUAAAAUAUACCUCUGGAGUCAAUGGGAAUCUUUCUGUGAAGAAAACAUCAGUUAUAUUGUAUUCUGUUUCUGUUCACUGUAUCACAGUUUUGUAUUGUAAUGGUUGUGCAAACUUAUCAAUAAUUAGGAUUUCAAAUACGAGUUUAUAUGUCUCAUAGUGGUCAAAAAUGAAAAAAUAGAAUAUACAAAGGUAAAACAUCCAUUAUGUAGUUUGCAUAACAUUGCUUAACCAUCUUGUGUAGGUUGCAUAACAUUGGUUAAGCAUUUUGGUUAUAGCUGCUUAAUUUUAACAUGAUUUGGUGUAGAAUAGGUAGCAGUGAAAGCAGAAUGCAACUUUGAAACAUAUGACUGAAAUGAUUACUUUGGUAUAUAGUAUUGACUUUUAAAAAGGGGGUUUGUGAUUAUAACCAAAAGGAAACAAAAAUUGUACGGCAAACAAAUGUGAUGUAGGCUUUCCGCAAAUUAAAGUAAAGCUUAACAGUACAGAAUCCGACAUGGUUAAGACAGAGGAAGAGAAAAAGUUUGUCAAAGAAAACAAUGACUAUGCUGAAAUUGCAAAGAUAAAAAGAAAAUUAGGUUUGGAUUAAAGGUGUGAAGUGAGUGUAGUGUAUAAUAGGGUUAGGGUAGUUGAUAUCUGUGUAGCAACAGAAGAGGAGAUCUUGGUGUGAUAAAGUCAAAAGUGAUUAUUAUAACAUACAAAACAGGAUUAUGUUGCCUGCCAAAUGGACAAAGAGAGAAACUGAGCUAACAAAUCAGCUUUUGAUGAAACAAAAUAAUGAAAAAAUUGAUUCUUGGUUUAAGCAAGAUUAAUUUUACACGUAAUUGUGAUUAAAGAAGUACAUAAGAUGACUAAAAGGAGGUUUUCUUGUGGCAUAAGAUUGAUUCGUUUGGAAAAAAUAGUAAAACACGUUUUUGUCUUUGAGAAGAAAAAGAUGACAAUAAGCAACACCUUUGUGACUCACUCCAUUCAAAAGUGUUUGUUAUAUUUCACCUUCGCAUGAGGAGAGUGGCAGACACAAUCACUUUUCAUGACUCAUCACACCAUCAAACCCUUUUUAUUUUACAAAAUUUAUGAUCUCAUCCUUGCUUUUAUUUCAAAAUAACAAAAAUAAUCUAUUUAAAUAUUUACGAAUAAAAUUUAUAAUAAUAGUUAGUAUUUGUAAAUAUUUAUUAUAUAUAAAUAAUAGAUAAUAGAUAUUUUAAUAUUCUUAUAAACUAAGUAUUAUACUAUUUAUAUAUUACUAAUAAAAAAUAAAAAUAAAAUUUAGUUUGUAUUUUAUUAAAUUAAAAUUAAUUUAUAUUUUAUUGAGUUAAAUUUAAUUAAAAUUAAAUUUUAAUCCAUAUUAUAUUUUAUUUUUUAUAAUUUUAUUUAAAUUUUAGUUUAAAUUUUUAUAAAAUAUAUUUUUUAAAUAUUUGCAGGAUUUACAUUUAUUUAUGCAUUUUUAAAAUAUUUGUGAAUAUUUUUUUAAUAGAUAUAUAUUUAAAUAAUAGAUAAAUUCUUUUGUUGUGAGUCCAAUACUCAAUAAAUAUUAUCCGAAUUGGUUGGCAUUCCUAAUUAUAUCUCUUAUCUUAUAAUUACUUUUCAAAUAUGCUAUAAUUAAAUUUAUGAUGUAUACUUUUCAUGUAAUAGGAAAUUAAUUGAAUAGGGAUUCUAAUUUCAAACAUCUUAUAUCACCUUAAAUAUGAUUUUCGAAUUGUAGUUAUAUUAUAUUUCUGUCCUUAUAUAGUUUCUUUGCUUCACUUUUGAUUCCUGUAAAAGAAAAAAGUUAUGUUGCUUAUUAUUUUGUUUUAGUUGCUUUAAAAAAAUCAUUUUGUAUGUAUUGCUUAAAUCGUUUGCUUUGAGCACAAAGUUACUAAUGUAAUAUAGAUAAAACAUUAUAGAAAAUAAAAAUAUAAAAGAAUUAACACAAAAUAAAAAGGGAUCAAAAGUCAAAGAAAUAACUGAAAAGACAAAAAGUAAAUUAGAGAGAGUUACGUUUUUCAAUCCAACACUAAUUUUAAGGCUAAAAUAAAAUGCAAGUAAUUUUUUUUCUUAUCGCAAUAUUUUUAUGUGUGCUUCUUAACACCUUCAUGCUUUAUAUAAAUCAAUCCAUUAUUCCUCAAAUUCAUCACAAUUUAUGUAAGACGUUUUAAAACAUUCGCAUAUUUAUUUGUGUCAUGUCUUUCUUUAUGGCUUCAUGUCCACAAUUUUCAUUAUGUUAAAAAAUAAGUUAAUAUAAUUAAAAAAAAACAGUUAUCACAAUACAAAAAUCGUAAAAAGAAUAUCUCCACCGAAAAACCAAUUAGAAAAUUAGUGUCCAUCAUUCUUGACUAAUUUUAUAACUUGGGAUAACUUCUCCUAUGAUAAUAGUUUUGAGGGGUGAAAAUAUAGAGACAUUAUCAACAGAAAAUCCAAUAACAAUUAAAAAUCAAUGCCAAACGAAACAUCUAUCCCUUGUUAUUCAGAAACAAAUCCCUCUUAACUUUAACAAUUAUUUAUGAUUAGUAGCUAUCUAAAACUAUUUUACUGCCUCCUCUUAUAUCCUUAGUUUAGAAAAACAACACUAUCCUUCCUCUACCAACAAAUCACUGGUAAGUUGGUUGAAAUUUACAUCAACACAUAAAGCUUAAUUUGAACACAGUUUGUAAAAUAGUUUACUGUUCAACACUGAAUGUGUUUGAAAUAAUAUCUUUAACAUUCAAAAUUUUAUGUUAAAUAUGGUUUUGCAAAGGUUUUCUUCACUGGAGAAUUAUUAAAUUUCUUAAAUAAUAAUUUUUCCAAAAUAAAAAUAGUAAUGUCCAGUUUUUCCCACAUGUGUCUAUUCACAAUUUUAUAUUUUUAUAAGUAAUUCAUAAAAUAAAAACUAAUCCGAUUUAAUAUAUAUAUAUAUAUAUAUAUAUAUAUAUAUAUAUAUAUAUAUAAUAAUGUAAAAAUAAUAUCAAAAAAUUAUGUUUCUACUAUUUAAAAAAUAAAAGUUAUUUGGUUAUUUAAUAAAUAGAUAAAUUACUUAUAUAAAAAUAAUAUUAAAAAUCAUGUAACCGUUACUUAAAAAAAGUUAUUUAAAUUUUAAAAUAAAAAAAAAAAUUAUUCAAAUUAUUUGUUUUAUUAACUAAAAAUGAAAAUAAAAAUUACAUAACUUCAAUUGUAAUGCAAACAUCUUUACAAAAUUAGUAUUUGCGUUAAUUACUAUAAUUGUAGAUUAAAAAUAAUAUUUGCUUGAAGAGUGAUUUUAAACCAUCCAGGUUUUGGUAAGUCGUAGGUGAAUUUGAACCAACAAGAAGAUUAUACCCAUUGCAGACUUACAUUACCAAGUGAGAUAAAUGGCCUAAUCCCCAAGGUUUGAUGGCACGAACCCACACUUAGAUGGUUUGAGAAGAUAUCUGCAAACCACAAAAGCAUGAGACAAACGGGUGGUUUAAUCCCAAACAUUUACAGUAGUUAACAAAAUACGAAAUACGCAAACCAAAACAUAAAUCCAAGUCACAGUGUAUUCAACUUCAUAAAUAUCUGUCCCAGUUAAACCCACAACGCUUUAAUUCCUUGCGUAUGAACUCAGGCGCUUCUGAAAUAUCUUUCAUUACCAACUUAUCAGAAAGAAUAAUUAAACUUUCUUUUCGACAAACAAAAAAAAAAAUACAUUUUGCAAAUACAAAGCAAUGAAAUAUUUACCACGUCAACCCUGUAUAAUUUUAACAAUAACACGGUAAGGUAUUGAAGAAAAUGAGUACAAAUAUGAUCUCAAAAGAGGGAAUCUAUAGAUGGCCAAAAAUAGGAUUAAUAACAUUGCUUUAAGCAUCAAACAGCAGCGAAAAGAAUUCAAGGUGUCUAACCUCUAUCAGAGAAAUUAUUUUCUGUAGAUUCACCAGAAGAACUCUGUACUCAGGUUGGUUGAUCAAGAACCCCUGUUCCAAACCUAUAAUAGCUUUAACUUCAUGCAUUCAGCUGGGAUGGUGACACCUCCAAGGUAGGAACAAGAUACUUGAUCACCAAACGAAACCUCCACAGAAGUAUGCAGUACCUUACGUACGGUCUUGCACCAGAUUGCAGCUCGCUGCAACAUGUCAAAACCUUACAACUGCAUACAACGCAGAGAGGAGAGGAACUCCACAAAAUAUAUGCACAAGCUGUGCUUUUGUAAAAGCAGGCUCGACGACCCACAAUCGUAGCAUUUAUAAAUAAUCAACAAUGGCAAUUUACAAGCCACAUCAUGCUCAAAUGUCAAAACCCGGCAUAGCAAACUGAGUUGCAAAUGCCUCGACCCGUGCUCGGAGCUCAACAACGUCCCUAUUGCUCUCAAGUCCCUUUAAAGCUGUCUUCUGAAGUUUCCCGUGCUCCCUCUGCAGUAUGCUUGCAAUCUGUGCAGCUCUAAUGAGAAAAUCAGCCAUUGUCUCAAAAUCAGGUUCCAGACACCCUCUUGACGUCAUAGCAGGGGUACCUGAAUAACAAAUACGGCAGAAAAAACUCCCCCGUGAGAAAGUACAGCCAAUUAAAUAUUCUAAGCAAAUAUUCUAAGCAUGCAAAGAAUAAAAGGCUCCUGCAUAUUGGACUAUUACUCACCAACUCUAACACCUCCGGGAAUUAUAGUUCCAUUGUCCCCAAAUAUAGCAAUUUUAUUCAAUGUAAUAUGACAUGCUUCACAGACCUUCUCGUAAAAUUUACCUACAAGCACCAAAAAGGUUAUGCUUCGAGUUAGAACUUCUUAUCAUAUAAACAAAUAAAUGAAAAAUUACAUUAAUUGUCAACCUUGAAUAAUAGGAUUUGUAUAAAUGGUGGCCAUAACUAUCAAACUCAAAGCACAAGUCUAGCACAGAACCAUAACACCAAUGAUGUCAUAACAAAAAGGCAUGUUUGGUAGCGAAGUGCCUAAAGAGGUUCGCUAUAUUUAAUAAAGAUGGGAAUGCUCAAGUAAUUUCGCUAACAUUUAAGAAAAGGUGUCCCGAAAUCAAAGAGAAAUUUUUCUGCACCUAAAAAUAUAAUGUAAAUCACGUAAAGUUAUUUCAAAAUGUGCGAGAAAUACGUACACGAAGGUGUUUAAUAGAAGUGGAUCAAAUGGAUAGAUAAUCCAAUUAAAAAAGGGUGCAAGAAAGACAAGAAAACAUUGGAAAAUACCAUGGCAAAAAAUUGCAAUCAAUUGUUGAACCCAAAAUUUGAUUGUUUUUCUAGAGCCCAACAGUGUUGACUAAUCCAUGCAGUAAACCUGCUUUGAUGAGAUAAGAGUUUGCCAUCAUAAUUGACUUUACAUUUCACUAAUAUUUUCAUUGGCCACCUGUCUCAAUGAAGCAGCUGAGCUGCUUCAGACUAGUAUGCACCUAAGGCUCUUUAGGGCCAGCCCAUUCAGGAAACUCCUACUCUUUCUAUAAAAAUUCAUGUCCAUAUAGAAAUGUAAAUUUAAAACAUAAAAUGUCAAAGAAUCUAAUCGAAAAAACUAGUGCAAUACAGCCAACAUGCAAACUAGUUGAGUCUAACGGACACACGCAUUAAACACAAACAAAUUAGAAAUAUAUCAUAAGAAUACAGCAUGCUCAUACAAUACCUGUCAAUCCCAGGGGCCUUAAAUCCCAAAGUAUUAAAUGGUUGUCUGUACCCCCAGUUACUAGGCGGCAUUUCCUUCUCUGUAAAGCACAUGCUAAAGCUUGAGCAUUCUUCUUCACCUGCUGCAUGUAGGCCUUAUACUCAGGAGUAGCCACUUGUUUUAAAGCUAUAGCAAGUGCAGCAAUGUGGUUAUUGUGCGGGCCCCCUUGCAAUGAUGGAAAAACAGCAAAAUUUAUCUUUUCUUCAAAGUCAUACUGAUCACUUUCAUGACCCUGACUUAGAAGAAUCCCUCUCUUCCUCGGCUUUGAACCUUUCCGAUAAAAUAUUAUACCUCCCCUUGGACCUCGAAGACUCUUGUGAGUUGUCGAAGUAACAAUAUCACAAUAAUCAAAAGGAUUCACACAUUCCUGAAAAAGACACAUCGGAAUACUUACAAUUACUUCAAAAUUUAUGGCUAAUCAACUAUUGGAUUUUUUCUAGGAGACAAUAAUGGACUGAAACCAUCCUUAUCAAUGAAUUCCAGAAUAUGACUUACAAAUUAAGUUCAAAUGAUAUUUAAUUCUGUAAGCAUGAACUUUUAUUCCAAUGCUCGGAUGAAAUUUAAUAAAAAUAAUAAACCCUUGGGGAUAUAUCCAAAUGCCUUAUACUUUACUAGUCAUAAUAAGUUCCGGCAUUAAUUCAAAUCAACCACACUAAACUACUCUACUCGACAUUCCAUAUUCUUGCAUGUGGUAUUCGUUGUGGUGUUGCGCUAUAGAUCCAACGUACAAACUACUCCAUGUGAGACUUAGGCACCUCAUGAUACCCAGGUCUCUAUUAUAACACCACCCCCGAUAGACAAUGUCCCAAAAACUUAGACUCUAUGUAACACUUCGUUCACUCACUGGUCAGAACACUAACAACCCCAGCCCUGACAAUACAGAGACAACAACCACCACCAGCUCUUAUAAAAAAAUGACAAGCAUUCAAACAAAUGGAAAACCCGCCCUUGCAAGCUAGUUGAUCGGGGGUGACAAACAAGAACUGAACCAAGUUCACUGAACUCUUUGUAUUGGUAAAUAUAUAUCAAAAUCAAAUAUACUCUUAUGCAGAAUAACAUGCAAACACACACACACACACAUAUAUGUAGAGAGAGAGUUAGUACGAGAAAUCCAAAAUCAGCAAGAACAUGUGACUAGAUUUUCACAAGCAGCUACGAGCAACAUAUAUGCAUAAAAAAGGGUUUGCUUAAGGAGAAGGAAUAUAUUUCACACCUUGGCCGCAAUUAUGCCACUAAUCUGUGCCAUGUCACACAACAACACAGCUCCACACUUAUCCGCAAUGUGUCUAAACCUCGCGUAAUCCCACUCUCGGGGAUAAGAACUACCACCACAUAUAAGUAUCUUAGGGCGAAAAUCAAGAGCCCUUUCCUCAAGCUUAUCAUAAUCAAUAUAACCCGUUUGAGGGUUCACCUUGUAAGGCAAGCUCUCAAAGAAAAUAGAAGCCCCGGAAACUUUCUUCCCAUUGGGAGUAUAGUAACCGUGACUAGUAUUCCCUCCAGACGGGGUAUCCAACCCCAUGAUACGAUCACCGGGCAACAACAGCCCCGUGUAAACAGCGAAAUUCGCAGAGGUGCACGAAUACGGCUGCACGUUCACCCCCCAGCACUUGGGGUCGAGACCGAACGCAUUCAACGCACGUUCGCAACAGAGCGUUUCGAUUUCGUCGAUGUACUGAUUACCACCGUAAUAUCGCGCACCGGGCAUUCCUUCAGAGUACUUAUUCGUCAAGUGGCUUCCCAACGCCUCCAUCACAGCCCUACACACGAAAUUCUCCGACGCUAUGAGUUCAAUCCCACGAAAUUGCCUCUUCUUCUCCUUUUCCAUUAUCUCGUGGAUGUCGGGGUCCGCGAUUGAAAGCGGUUGGCAUCCCCACGCACGCACGGCAACCUUCCGCGCGUCGAGAUCGGGAUCCACAGAAACCCUCUUCGUGGAGGAGGAGGACGAUGAGUCACAAUCUCUUCGCCUCUUCAGGCACAUUGAGUGACCCAGAAUUCGAAACUCUUCCACUUCUUUGUCGUCGUCGUCGUCAUCCGAUUCGACAUCCAAACUUCCGUUCUCCAGCGGCUGCGGUGGUUCAAGCAGCUGCAGCGGCACAGGCGGGUCGGAACGACGAAGCGGCGAAGCGUGAGAGGAGGAAAAUCCGAGGGACAAGUUGGAUUGAGAGUGAGACAGGUCCAUCGAAGAAGAUAGUAAAACAAUGAGAUACGUAAAUUUAGUAACUAAUAAUCCCUAAGAACCACCACCACAACAACAACAACAGAGUGAGUAAAAGCGGUGAUGGAUUAGGGAUUGUGAGGGAAGGGAAGAGCAGACGGUCAUUGGAAGCCCUAACCCUAAUCUGGAAUUUGGAAUUGAGAAUUGGGAACGAAGGGGAAUGUAUCUAGACGCUGGUUCUUUUGGUGUGAAUGGGAAUUUCUGAAUACAAAACCCUCUUUUCCCUUCUCUAUGUAACCUUCUUUUCUUUAAAAACAACAUAAUAAUCUUCGGAAAUCACAAUCAUAUUCCAUAAACUAACCAUAUUUACAAUGAUUCUUUUCUCUUUGUUCCAAUCAAUCCACCAACUUGAUUAAUAGCAAUUAUGAUUUUUUUAAUACCACCUUAAUUUUUUCUUUGGAAUUAUUAUUUAACUUUGCUAUGGGAUUAUUUAUCAUCCAAUUACAAUUUUUCAUUCAUUUAAUUAUUUUAUCUUGUCCUUUGCAUGAAUAAAACGAUUUUUUAACAUUAUUAAAAGAAAGCUUAAUUAUUGAAGUAAUUUGAUUUGAAUAAAACCAUUGACCUAGAUAGUUGAAUUAAUGUUUACAUUUAAUAACAACACACGAUUCAAAUGAGGGCUUUUAUUCAUAGAUAAAUAUGACUUGCUUUAUUAAUUAGUGUUAAAACACACUAGCUUAUUGGCAUAGUUAAGAGACACUAUGAGAAUUAAAUUAAGCAAUGAAAAUAGUGUUGACGAGAAAGGGUCAAUUUCUCGUAAACUUAUAGAGAAUGGUUUUAUUGUAUGCUUUGCUUAAUCCCUCAUAGGAGAAAAACCAAUAUUUGUGUAUUCCUUUCUUUCUUUAGUUGAGGUUCUUUCUUUAAGUAAUUCCUUAAUAAAACCAAUUCAACAUUAAAUUUUUAGACGUUUUUGGUCCAUUCUUUUUAAUGAUUUAUUAUUUAUAUAGAUGAAAUUAUUUAGUUAAAAAUUAAAAACACAAAAUAAUUAGUAAACACAUGAGAAGUGAAAAAAUCCAUAUAAAUAAUAAUGUAUUCCAGAAACAUGAACUGAAAUUAAAAUGCAAAGAACGUGUGACAAUAAAAAAAAAAAACAUGUUACAACACAGAAAGAUGAAUGCAAUAAAAAUACGACAGUGAACAGAAAAAAGACACGUGAGUGUAAAACACAACAAAUGGGUUGAAUUGGACAGUACGAGGCCCAAUACAUAAGUUAGACGAGGGCUUAUUGUAAGCAAAAAUCAUUCAACCAUGUAACCUAACCUACCACAACAAUUUUUUCUAGGAACACGCUUAAGAUUUCCUCACCAACUACCCCCAUCCAUAAAACCCAGCAUUCAAAUGCAUUUAGUACUCAAUAAUAACUUUCUAUUUUAUUAUUAGGUAUGCAAGAAAAUAAUUUAUUAAAAAAUAAAUUUUAAACCUAAUUCAAUUACACAAAAUCGAUUCAUUACAUCUAGUUUACAUGUUAUAAAUCAAUUUUAUUUUUAAUUAAUAUAAAACUUUUAUGCAAGAGUUUUUUCUUUAAUACAUAGUAUUGUAUUUCAGAUGUAGUCUCUUUUUAUGCCCAAACCGGUACAACCUGCACGUUAGUACUCCGACGUUUAAAUUAGUAACAUCGUAUUAAUGCGAGAGUUUUUUCUUUGAUACAUAGUACUGAAUAUGUUAAUUUGACUCCAAUAUUGAUUCUCUGGCAGCCAAGCAUACAAUAUCCAUGUUGUUGGUAAUUAUAAAUAUUUUGAAAUAGAAAAAGCAUAGAUCAUGCUUAAACUUUGAGGUCCACCAUGAACAACACAAACUAAACCAUAAAAUAUUUGGAACAUGUUAUACAGUAUGUGGACACGUACGAGUCUACAUUCGUAUUUCUUGCCCUGUAUGCCACUAAUUUUGUGGGUCCCACACUCGGCGGUUUUUAUGGUUCAAAUCACAUCCUUUCCACACCAUCUUCCGCACGCUUUACCUAUAGCAUUGUUCCCCUGUGUAGCGCACCACCGUAAGCCAUGCAUCACAUGGUUGAGUGAGUGCCACGUCGUCCAACAUCGUGGAAAGUGAUGGCACAUUCGCGAAGGGUGAAGAGCAACACGUAAACGCGAAAUAGAGGAAGUAGGAUCGAUUUUGGUACUCGCGAGAGUGAGACUAGAUGAGGUAUGUGAUUACGUGGCACAGUAAGAGGGAAGCGUCACGCUUUUCUUGGAUGGCCUCCGGAGGGAGUCUUUGAAGGAAGGGGUGGUGGAAUUACGGUAGUACCCUUGAAAAAUUGGACUCCCAGAUUUACCCUUACUGUUUUGGGGGACCAUGCUGUAAUGCAUUUUCAAGGAUGUGUUGUUUUCAGCUACACCUUUUGGUUCUCUUCCCCCACAAAUUGUUGGCGUUUUUAUUUUUCUACGCCUGUUUGAAUAACAUUGACUACAUUUUCUCUUGAAAUAAAAAUUACAUUAUUUUAAAAUCUAUAUAUUUAUUUUCUUUAUUGUUGUACUUUUUAUAUUUUACAAAGAAAAGGUAUUUUAUAAGAUUCAUAUUUAUUAUUAUAUUUAUUAAAAUUCAAUUUUAUUUUAUUGAACUAAGUGUUUGAAUGUCUUCAUUAUUUUUUAACCUCAAUAACAUGUGUCAACAUUUUCUAAAUCACUCAAAUUUUAUCAUUUAUUAAAAUUCCACGCUUCAAAAUCCUGAUAAGAAGAAAAAAAAGUAUAAAGUAGUAUUUUUACAUGUAUGGUAAUAUUCUAAAAUUAUGUUUGAAAAACUAUACAUGUGCAACAUAAGAAAAAAAAAAUACUGUAAUAUUAUGAAAUAGAGAAUGAAACACGUGUUGAUGUAUCUUUUAUUAAAAUUAUUAUCUCAGAACAGUGGCGAGUUGGAAUAAAUGCACCUGCCUCUAAUUGUUUUAUAAAUGCAGAAGAUGGGAAGUGACAGACAUACAAGAAUUGACAUUCAUUUACGUAUGCAACAUGCAACAUAUGUUCACACACUGUUUUAUUUAUUUUUAUAUUCUAUAUUUCAAUUGGAAUUAUCUUUGAACCAAAGCAAAAAAUACGCUACUUCAAAACUAAUUAACAGUUUUUCCAUUACGCAUAUAAAAUAUACCCAUGAUAAAAACUAUAAUUGAGAUAAAAAAUAAAUAUAUAAAGAAAAAACUUUUUGACCGUUAAUUUAUCCAAAUUAAUAACUUAGUGCAUCAAUUAAUUUAACUAAAGUCCAAAAUAUUUGAAUUUAAUUCAUGAAUUAUAAAUUAGUAGAUUAAAUAGACUCGUUCAUUUAAUUAUAUAUAUUUUUUCAGUCUAAAAGAAAUUACAUUUUUUAAUUGAAAUUUAAAUAAGAUUUAAAUUUUUUUUCUAAGUGAAGUUAUUAUGUUCAGUUUAGUUUUCGCUUUUAAAAAUGUCAACCUUUAAUCCCUAUGCUAUAAAAAAAUGUAUCAAAUCAGUCAUCAUUAAUAAACAACAAAUCACAAGUUUAGGUAUUCAAUAUUUGGUGAUUUGUCAACGGGAGGUGUUAUGAACAACAAAUCACUUGAUGAAAAACUUGUGAAUUGUUAACGGAUAUGACUAAUUUGAUACAUUUUUUUAUCAUAAAGACUAAAGGUCUAUAUUUUUAAAAACUGGAACUAAAUUGAUCAGAACUUAACUUAGAGACAAAAAAGAUUUAAAUAAUUAAACAAAGUCAAAUACAAUCUAAAAUAAUAAUAUUAAACUUUGAAUAUAGUCUAAAAUAAAAAAAUAUAAUAUAAUCUAAAUAUAUUUAAAAAUAGAAAAACAUUUAAAAAUUUUAUUUUUAAUAUAAUUUAAUAUUUAAAAUUUAUGAAUAAAUUUGUAAACCAAUUCAAUUCACCACAUUAUUCAGUUUAAGUAAAUAAUUCAGUUUAAGUAACUAAAUUAUGUUUAUUUUUUUAUGUGGAAAUUUGUAAAUUUUUUUAAUACAAUUCCAUUAGUACAUAUAAUAAAUCAGGUUAGCUAGGAUAUUUUAACCCGUAUUCAGAUGUUAAUUUCUCAUUAUCGGGUUUUCUUUCUUUAUUUGUAUAAAAGUUUAUGAUUAAUGUAGGUUUACUAGAAAGGCAUGCAUCAAGAUUAGUCUUGUGGGUCAAUCGAUUCAAUGAGUUUUAUCUAAAAAAGGUCACAGUAAUUUUAUUUAACUUUUAAUUUAUCUUUUAUAUAUAUAUUAAAAAAAUUGAAGUUAAUUAUUCAAGCAAAAUGGAUUGAAUUUAAUUUUUUUUAAAAAAAAAACUAAAUUUAUUAAACUUGACUACUACAAUAAUCAUUAGGUCCAUUAUGGUCGACCAUCAAAUUAUUUAAAUUUAUGUAAUGAAUUGUCACUGUGUAACGUGAUUAUUUAGGGUUAAAUAUGUUUUUAGUCCCUAUAGUUUAGAGCGAUUUUGGUUUUAGUUUCUCUUUCAAACUAAGGUACAAUUUAGUCCUUUAAUUUUAGAAAACUCUGGUUUUAGUUUUUUUUAUCAAAAAAAAAUUGGUAAAAAGGACUAAAACCAGAGUUUUCUAAAGUUAAAUGAUUAAAUUGUACCUUAGUUUAAAAGAGUGACUAAAAUCAAAAUUGUUCCAAAGUAUAGGGACUAAAAACAUAUUUAACCCUUAAAUUUAGCUUAACAUGUAACAUAAGAAAUUUAAUCUUUUAUAAUAAUUAAUGAUAACUCAAUUUUAUCAAAAUAAAAAAUUAAUUAAACAUUUUCAAAAUAUGAGAAUAUAAGUAUACAGAUUCGAAAAAAUAGAAAUAUCCAGAGUGAUUAAACCUUUGAAUUAUUAGGCGAGAUGGUCACAUGGGUUGGUGCUGUUAAGUCCUUUACUUUUGAGAAUGGCUAUCGAUUUGGUCAAUUUCUGAGUUGCUAGUUUGCGCAAAGCUAGCCACGAAACCGAAGUUGGAUUCAAUCAUUUCCUUCAAUUCAAGACUUUGUGUCAACUUUAUGCUAAAACCGUGUCCAACUUUGCCUUCUAGCACACACAAUGCGAAAAGCAACUAUUAGUUUAUCUUCUUUCAGUUUACUAAUUAAAAAAUGUGAAACAAAGAAAAGGAAAUAUAACUGCCACUUUUAAAUAAAAAAAAUUAUUAUAAUACACUUUUACAUUCAUUUAUAUAAUUCAUAGUAAAAAAUAUUAAAAAAAACAAUAAUUUAUCAUGAUUCAGCGUACAAAUGUCUAUCUUGUAAAAGAUAUUUAUAUUUGGUGUAAAAAAAAUUGUUUAUGUAAUUAAAUAGAAAAUAACAUCUCCUUAUAUUAAAAUCCUUUUAAAAAUUAAUUAAAAAAAUACAAAAUCUCAACUUGUGAUAAAAUUAUUAUAAUAAAUAAACUUUUGCAUUUUAUUUUAAUAUAUAUAUAUAUAUAUAUAUAUAUAAUAUUAAAUAAUUGUAAAAGUUUUUAUAUAUAUGUGAAACUAUAUUUGCAUAAUAAAAACAAAAGUUGAAGUAAAAGUAAAUGGGAUUUUAAGUAAAAAGGAAAAAUGGAAAAAAAUGUCAAAUCGAGAAGGUAGUAGAUAGAGAUGGGGCCGGAGGGGUAAUGUGGUCAAAGAAGGUAGGGUCGGGGGCAUUAAUGUAAAAAAGAAACAGAAAAAGAGAGUGCCGUUGCGAUGGGCAUGGUGACGUGGCUAAUACCCUUCUUAAUCCUCUUGGAUUAAGUGUUAAACGAGAACACGCCAAAUAAACCCAUUCCAUUAUAAACCCAAACACGCGCUUCGCAAUGCCAUUUCUGAGGAACUCUCUCUCUCUCUAUAACACACACGCACACUUUAUCUCUCUAAAAAACUAAAAGAAAUAAAACGAAGCUCACGCAGCUGAGUCCACUCGUUGGGGGCGGUUCUCUUUUGAAUCGUUUCGAAAUUCACUUUUCCGUUUCCCUUCGUUGAUUGUAUAUACAACCGAUCACAUCACUGAUCAUUGAUUAGAAUUAUUUUUGUAAUUAUUAUUAAUUAUUGUUUUCGUGGUUGCGAUUCUGUCGUGUGCUGCGUGGUUCGUACGGUACGACGUCGUUGGAAUUUCAUCGCCGUCGCGCUGGUACGGAGAGAUUGCUUGCUGCUGCGCUGUGGUGUUGUUGAAGGAUGGCGGCCGGAGUGGAGUUGUCGGAUGGAAGAAGCGGCGGCGGAAUUGCGAUGGAAAUUCCGGUCGGCGAUGAGGAAUCGUUUUCGUCGCCGACGACGUUGCCGAAGAGGCUCCGGCGACGGCUUCGUGGCGCGGAGUGCAAGUCUCCGAGCACGGUGGAGGAAAUCGAAGCGAAGCUCCGCGAUGCUGAUCUUCGCAGACAGGUGUCCUUACUAUAUAUUUUUUCCGUUCCGAAACAGUGUGUUGGUUUGGUUGGUGAGCAAGCUUAGGGUCUUGAAAUUGAAUUUAGAAAUGGUUUUCACUCUUUUUUAUGGUUUGUUUUAUUUUUUGCUCCUUGCUUAUUUUAACCACGUGUAAUUAGUUACUAAUUAUUAUUUAUUAUUUUAAUAAUUUAAUUAGUUUGUAACGUGAGUGCGUAGAGAUUAAUCUCAUUUAAGACUUUUAUUUUGGGUUUGUAUAAACGCUUAUUUAUUUUACUCGAUUCAUCGAUUGUGGAAAGAGUUAUACGGUUCGCUUGUUACUGCUCUGUUGGUUAAUUGUUGUAAAAAAAAAUUCUUCGUUUUCUUGCUUUGUCUUCAAGGCUGUUUCUGUGUUAGGUAAGAUACUUGAGGCUUCUUCUUUUCUAUUCGAAUUUUGAUUCGCACUCAUUUGAUGGUGGUACUUUUUUUCAAAUUUCAAAAGGGUCUCUUUUUUCUGAUAACUUUCGUUUUGGUUAGUACUAGGUAUGGGUUGUAAGCUUUUAAUUCUUGUCAUUAAUAUGAAAUGGAAUCCUAAUUAUGCUUUAGUAUAUGCAACAUCUUAUGGUAUUUUCAUUCGUGAGUAAUGAUCUAGUGACCAUACUGUUUUAUUCACACUCGGAGAAACCAAAUAUAAUUACAGUUUCUUCCCUGACCUCCUAUUUUCUGUUUCUUGUUCUCUCCUUAUCAUUUGUCUAACUGUUCUUAUUUUGUUUUUCUUGCCUCUGAUCAGAGUUUCAAUAUUUUUAAUUUAAGACCCUUUGUCUUGGGUGUGAGUUUCUCUCUAUUUAUCGAACUUCUCUUGGUUGUAGAAAUACUAUGAGAAACUCUCAAGUAAGGCACGUGCAAAGCCAAGAAGCCCCUCAAGAUGUUCAUCCCAGGAAGAUGAUCCUGGUCAGAGACUAGAAGCAAAACUGCAGGCUGCUGAACAGAAGAGGUGAGUUUUUCCCAAGUUUGUCUUGUAAAAAUGUAUUUAUUAUGGGCUCGUGUUAUAAAAGUGUUUGUUUUUGUUGCCAACGGCCGGGGUGUUUUUGUUGUUUCAUGCAGUAAAACCACUUUGCUUAAAAAAUACCUUCUUGAUCACUCAUCAGCCAUUAAAAGCAACAUUUGGAGUGAUUCACACUUGUAAAUACCUUUUUGUUUUUUAUUUGCAUUUAUAAUAAAAAUAUUAUAUAUAUAUAUAUAUAUAUAUAUAUAUAUAUAUAUAUAUAUUUUCAAUACGAAGACUUGUUUCUGAGAAAACAACCUUAGAUAAAUGGACCGGAUUCCAAUCAUAAAAUGGUAAUAUUGGUGUCGUGUCGUGUCCUUGUUGGAAUCACUUUUCUGUUUUUAAUAAACUACACUUAUUUGAAUAGAUUAAUUACUUCAUUUGUUUAUCAAGUCUGUACUAUUUGUGUUACAUCUUUCUACCGGGGAACUUCAUAUAAUUUAUAAAUUAGAUUAUUAUGCAGUUAAACUUUGUGAUCUUUCAUUCUGAUAUGUUUUCAUUAUUUGUAUAUUAUUUACUCAGGUUGAGCAUCUUGACUAAGGCCCAAAUGCGUUUAGCAAGACUGGAUGAAUUGCGUCAAGCAGCAAAAAAUGGAGUUGAAAUGCGCUACGAGAAUGAACGUGUAAAGCUUGGAACUAAAGUUGAGUCACGUGUUCAGCAGGCAGAGGCUAAUCGGAUGCUUAUCCUCAAGGCUCUUAGGCAAAGAAGGGCUUCUCUUAGAGAAAGGUCAUCUCAAACAUUGAUGAGAAGGAUGGCUCGAGAAAGCAAAUAUAAAGAGUGUGUACGGGCUGCAAUUCACCAAAAGCGAGCUGCUGCUGAAAUGAAACGACUUGGAUUGCUAGAAGCCGAGAAAAAGAGGGCACAGGCUCGAGUCUCGCAGGUGAUACAUGUGGCAAAGUCUGUAUCUCACCAGCGUGAGAUUGAGAGGAGGAAAAAGAAGGAUGAGUUGGAAGAUCGAUUGCAAAGGGUAUGCUGUUUACUUGAAGCUCCUCUUCUUUUUCUUUUUCUUUUCAGAGUAAGGGGAUGGUUGAUUUGUUGUGGUCAUCAAUGCGCUUGUUAUUAAGUCUCUGAAAUUAUAUUUGUUAGGCAAGAAGACAAAGAGCUGAAUAUCUCAGGCAGAGGGGAAGACUGCGUGGCUAUGUCCAUGAGGAUCGGAAUAGAAUGUCAAAGCAAGCAGAAUAUCUUUCCAGAAAACUAGCAAGGUUUAUUUGCAUUUAAAUAUUGAUAUAUCUAUGUUAGGUCAUGUACAAAGCUUUAAUAAUGUCACUCUCUGACGUGGACAUGUAGAAUCUUAUCACUGUCUUACACAGUUAUCAUUUUGGAUUGGAGGAGAUUUGAACUAAGCUAUAAAUUUAAUGUAGGAUGAAUUUAGUGUUUGAAAUUUUAUUCCUCCAUCAGGAUUAGGCGGUAAAGGAUGUAUUUGAGUUACUUUUUUGCUAGCUAUUGAUAUAGGGAAAAGGUCUCCUAACUUUAUUUUCUUAUUUAAGGUGCUGGAGGCGGUUCCUGAGGCAAAAGAGAACAACGUUCACCUUGACAAAAUCAUAUGAUGUGCUGGGCAUUAAUGAGAAAUCUGUUAAGUCAAUGCCAUUUGAACAGCUUGCUGUUCUGAUUGAAUCAGCUUCUACCCUUCAGACUGUGAAAACUUUGCUGGACCGAUUUGAGAGCCGCCUCAAAGUGUCUACAGCAGUUGCUCCUGCCAAUAAUUUGUAUAGCUUGGACAACAUUGAUCACCUUCUCAAAAGAGUUGCUUCCCCCAAGAAAAGGGCUACUCCCAGGAGACCUGUUAGAAGCAGAGGGGCAAUGAAAGUAGAUUCAGGCAGAGAGUCAAACAAUAGCUUGGCUAGGUCGUCCAGGUAUCCUGUGAGAGUUGUUCUUUGUGCUUAUAUGAUAUUGGGUCAUCCAGAUGCAGUUUUCAGUGGAAUGGGAGAACGUGAGAUUGCUCUAGCCAAAGCUUCAGAAGAGUUUGUCCAAAUGUUUGAGUUGUUGAUAAGGAUUGUAUUAGAUGGACCAGUACAGAAUUCUGACGAAGAGUCUGUCUCAGCAGCUAUGAAGCGCUGUACCUUCAGAUCUCAGCUUGCUGCUUUUGAUAAAGCUUGGUGCUCAUACUUGAAUUGUUUUGUGGUAUGGAAGGUUAAGGAUGCUCGAUCACUGGAGGAGGAUUUGGUAAGAGCAGCUUGCCAGCUUGAAGCUUCUAUGAUUCAAACUUGCAAGUUAACUCCAGAAGGAACUGUUGCUGAUAAGCUUAGUCAUGAUAUGAAAGCUAUUCAGCGUCAGGUAAUUAAUGUUCCACAUCAAUAGUUUAGUUUCUUUGUGAAUUAUAUAUGUUGUUGAUGAACAUUUUUUUAUCGGAACAUUAAUGAUUUUGAAAACCAACUGUUGUAUAUUGAAGACUGUAAGAUAGACAGAUACACAUUUUGGUUCUUAUUGAGUACAAUUUUUCAUUUGCUUACCCCUUUUCAAACAAUGUUUCCUGAUGUUCAUUGACUAUAGUGAAACCAUAGUUCUUUAUUUCCUUGACUGCUUUCUUAUCGUUGCAGCAAUGUUUGGCCUUAUCUUUCUUUCUGCAAUUAAUGCAGGUCUCUGAAGAUCAAAAACUUUUGAGAGAAAAGGUGCAGCACCUUAGUGGAGAUGCUGGUAUUCAGCGAAUGGAGUCUGCACUCUCUGAAACAAGAUCUAGAUACUUUGGAGUGAAGGAUGACGGAACUCCUGUGAGGUCUCCAAUGAUUUCAUCUGUGACUGCAAGUCCAACUCCAUCAAGUGAAAGAAGUAUUCCAGAAGAGGGUAGUAAUCAUAGGACUGCAAGGCCAACUCCAUCAAGUGAAAAAAGCAUUCCAGAUGAGAGUAGUAAUCAUAGGACAAGCCGAGUAGUUCGCUCCCUCUUUAAGGAGACAAAUACUUCUCCUGGAGAGUCUAGCUUCUCUGCUCCCAUAACCCGUUCAGAUAGUAACCUGUACCCUCCAUCUGAAAAGCUACGGGCAGAUAAUGAGGUUAUUGUAAAUGAAUUUCUGCACGAUCACAAGUAUAGUGUUACUGAUGGUCUUGAUGUCCCUGAUCACACUCAAAACAGCCUUGAGGUCAGUACAUGUUCGUAUAAAUGUGACAUUUGAAUUAAUGGCUGAUUUUGGAUGAAGCUAUAUUUUGAGGCUCUUCCUAAGGCCUUUGAUGUUGAUCUGGUCAUAUUAUCCCACCAACUACAGUCUGAUUCGCCCAUAUAAUUCUUUUUUUAUCUUCCAGGGGAAAAUAAAACAGGCAAUGGAGAAGGCCUUUUGGGAUGGUAUCAUGGAAUCUGUUAAGGGGGACCAGCCCAACUAUGACCGGAUAGUGCAACUCAUGGGAGAGGUUAGGGAUGAAAUUUGUGAAAUGGCUCCAAAAAGCUGGAAGGAGGAUGUUUUUUCUGCCAUUGAUUUAGAAAUUCUUUCUCAGGUAUAUAUUCUCUUUUUGCAGCCUGUGAUGGCUAUUAGAUGCAUGAUCGGCGUAUACCUGAUAAUAUUUUCUCCUUUUCUGACAUUUUCUGCAUACAUGAAGGUGCUGAAAUCAGGUAACCUGGAUGUUGAUUAUCUUGGGAGAAUUCUUGAGUUUUCACUCACGAGUUUGCAGAAGCUCUCAGCUCCAGCCAAUGAGGAGAUGAUGAAGGCUACACACAAGAAACUAUUUCAUGAAUUGGGUGAAAUUUGUCAAUCAAGGGAUGGUUCAAACAAUUCUUGUGUUGUAGCCUUGGUGAAGGGCUUGCAAUUUGUCUUCCAGCAGAUUCAGGUCUGUUUGCUUAGCCUUUUAUUCGCCCACUUUGCUUAAUUUUAUAACUGAAAUUUACUUGGUCAAUAUGUCAAUUUUUCUUCUGCUCGGUAAUUAUGAAUUAUAGAUGCUUUUCUGAAAGCAUUCAGUACCACUGCUUUGUUAAGUAAUUAAAUUUUGCUCGAUCAAUGCAUUCAUGUUUUUCCUUUUUCUUUAUUAAUUAGGAAUUUUGAAUGCUUCUAAUGUAAUAUAUUCUCUUAAAUCACUUGAAUACUGGUUUCGAUUGUAGCUGCAAUGCAUUGAAGAGCUUGAGAUGGGUUGCAAUUUGUUAGCUAUAGAUAGGCACAAUCUUUCUAUCAAUGUUACUUUGUUUGUGCGUUGUUCUUGAUUAUUGUGAUCUUCUGUUAGCUUGAAAUUGAAACCAUAUUUUUAUGGUACAUUUUUCCAUUGAACACACCGAGUUUGGAUCCUGCAGUAUGGAAUUUAUUUUGAAGAUAUUCAUCCGACAUUUUCUAGUCUGUUAAUGUCUUGCGUUGGUUUUAUAAUUUGUGACAUGAUUAAUUGUUGUGACAGAUUCUUAAGAAAGAGAUAAGCAAAGCACGAAUAAGGUUAAUGGAGUCUUCGGUGAAGGGGUCUGCUGGUCUGGACUACCUCAGGAAUGCCUUUGCUAACAAAUAUGGAUCUCCUUCUGAUGCCAGUACCUCUAUUCCUUCCACACUGAGAUGGAUUUCAUCUGUUUGGAAUUGCAAAGAACAGGAAUGGGAAGAAUACGUGAGAUCCUCGGCAGCAUUGGCCUCUAAUUCAUCCCAAGAAUUGCUUCCUUCAACUACUCUCAGAACUGGGGGGAAUAUUUUACUCAAAACAACUGGCAGUCCGAUGGCCCUUUCACUUGAUGGUGCCAAUGCUAAAGGUUUUUAAUUGAAAAACUUUGAUUUUCUAUUGUUCAAUUGGCUUUAAAGAUGUUUACUUUGUACAUGAAGAAAACACUUAUUUUGAUACCAACUUGAAUGUUAUUUGAUCAGGUGGUCAACAGCCAGAAUGCAAAGGAGAACCUGUCGAUCUGGUUGUGAGACUUGGCUUGUUAAAAAUAGUAAGUGGAAUAUCUGGUUUGACUCAAGAUGAUCUGCCAGAAACUUUAUCUCUUAACUUCUCAAGGCUGAGGUCUGUUCAGGCUCAAAUUCAGAAGAUUAUUGUGAUUUCUACAAGGUAAAACAUAUUUGUUCUGAGAUAUCUUCACACUCUCUUAACUGUAAAAUUUAUUCUGGUGACGGUACUAUAUUUGACUAAUAUUAUCUAUUUUUUGGGAAUGGCAGCAUUCUUAUUCGCAGACAGAUUGUGGUGAGUGAAAAGGCAGUUGCUAGGCAUGCAGAUAUGGAAAACUCAGUGUCUAAGUGUGGUGCAGAACUGUUGGAUCUCUUAGAUCGCGUUGAAGAUGCUGAUAUAAACGAUAUAGUAGAAGUGAUCUGCAAUUUGCCGAAAAUUGAGGGUGAAGAAGCAGAUAAGGCUGAAUCGAGAAAGUUGGUUGCUGCUAGGAUGGUAGGAAAGAGCCUACAAGCUGGGGAUGCUGUUUUUGAGAAGGUGUCUAAUGCUGUCUACUCAGCUUUGCGUGGAGUUGUGCUUGGGGGAAGUGGGGCCCGUGGGAGGAAAUUGGCAGAAAUGGCUCUGACCAAAGUGGGGUCUGCUUUUCUGACUGAUAAGGUAGUGGAAACUGCUGCUGUUUUGAUUGUAGCAUCCACUAUUUCAGUUGGUGUUCAUGGGCCAUGGUAUAAACAUUUGGCCGAUAACAUGUAAGUACAUUCUUAUUAAUAAUAAUUACACACGUUUGUACAUAGGAGUGUGUAAAGUUGUAAGCUGUGUAUCUUAUCUUAGGUCUGUAGAGAAGUGACAUUGUUUGUAGUAGAAUUCUUUUCAUGUAACAGACAGAAAUGUACAUAUAUGUGUCUAUCUCAAUCUUUUAACAUUAAAUUGCUAAUAUAUGAUUGGAACUUCAACUUAUUAUAUAUAUCUUCUCAGUUACUGUCACUAAUUUUAAAUAUUCUCUGCAAGUAAUGCUAUCAAAAUCUUGAAAUUUCAGAUGCUUACUUUACCAAUUUUGCAAUGUGAGAACUGUUUUUAACAUUUAUUGAUUUUCAUCUAUAAAAGGAUUGUUAAGCUUAAUUUUGCAAUGUUAUGAUUCAAAUUAUAAUUUAUCCAAUCAUAUUUUUUUGUAACGCUUUAUAGACUGACUAAAAUAUUCCCACACGUCUCAUUCUUUAUCAGUUAUAAGAGUAAUUUUUAUCCUCGCAACAUUUAAAUCAUAUAUUUUGAGAAUCAAACUCAGCCAUUUUCCCAUAGACUCAUGUUUUGUCAACUAAAUUACACCAGGUCGGUAUUACAUUGCAUUCAUCUUUUGACAAUUUGCAUUUAUUUUACAAUUUCUUUUGUAAAUUUAUCUAAAGUAAAUUAGAGAGAAUUUAGAAUUUUAUAGGAUGGAUUAUUCAAAAAGCCACCUUUACAAUUUCACUAAAUUAAAUCUGCACCUCUUCACCAGCACAAGUUAGUCUAGACAACUUUGAUGGUGGUUAUAGAAAUACAAGUAAUACAGAGUUUUCCUUGUUAAUUUGCGUAUAAUAGAUGGAAACCAUAAAUUACUGCAAGUUUGAUAUACAUAGUGCGAAAAGGCAUAACAAUAAUAUGAUUGUAUAUAAUUUCAAGAUGUUGUCCAUUGAGGUAGUACUCUCCCAGAAGCAUUUUUACAAGUUACCUGAUCUAAUGCAUCAAUUUCUAUGAGGUCAAAGUCUAGGUCUUCAUCAUGGCAUCCAGAAAAAUAAUCUUCCUCUGCAGAAUCAUAUAUCACAGCUUUUUUAUUUUGUCUCUUUAUAGUCCUUUUCUUAGAACGACCUGUACUAUUGGUGAGGGCGUCAUCGUCCUCAGCAUUUGCAUAUGGAUCUCCAUUUGACUCUCGUCUCCUUUUAGCAGAAUCUGCACUGUCUUUGCUGCCGCUACUGGCUUUGUCCAACUUGUAAUAUUCAUUUAUGGUAUUCUCAAUGGUUUCCAGUAUCUCAUCCCCAUACUUGCUUACCUUUGCCCUGUGUUAGACCGAAAUUAAUUAAUGCCUAUUCACUAACAAGGAGACCACUAUUCUCAGAACAAACUUACUUGCCAAUGCCAUUGAUAUCGAGGAGUUCUUCUUUCGUUCUCGGCACUUUCUUGCUCAUCUGCUGCAACGUGGCAUUACUAAAUAGAAACGGCAGCUUAUCAGAAGAAUUUAUCAUGAGUAGUAUAUAACACAUACGUCAUAUCAUGUAAUAAAGCAGAAAUGGAUUUAUUAGGCAAAUUUUAAUUUUCAAUUGCAUUCGUAUAAUGCUACCCUGUAGAGUAAAUGAAUCCAAAAUGGAGAUAAUGUUACUUUUAUUACAAAAAGAAAAUGUCUAAUAAAUUACCCAAAUAUGUGGUAAGCAAAAACACUAUCUCCAGCUUCUUUAACAAGAGUUGUCCUCAACAUACGCAGAGCAGUGUAUAACUUGGCUGAAAGAUUCUGAAGCAGAUUUGUCUUUAAAUAUAAUUCAAGAACAGAUAGAAAUUGCAACAAACAAACUGCAAGAUAACCCAUUUCAUACCAAAUCCACUUCAGUUUGAGGCUGAGGAGCGUUAGUUGGAAUAACAUUCGGCUUCCCAGAUGUCAAAGAACCCUUGGCUGGAGUUACAUCAGAUUUCCCUGGUUUUAAUGCCUUUACAGACGAUGGAAAUCUACAGUAGUUGAAAAAUUCCAUGAGUAGAAUAUGAACAGAGAAAAACACGCGUGUAUUGUGAACUUGAAGCCCUAGAAAGCUUAGACAAAGAUUCAAGUGAAAUCGAACUUAUAUUUAUCAAAGCCCUCACAUACAAAGAAAAAGGAACUUUCACGGAAAGAUGUUCAACCACGGUAAGAAUUAGCCUUCUAAAUUCAACAAAAUUAAGCUAGAAACAGAAUGAGAUUGACAAACCUCAAUAUAAUUCUGUGCCCAGCAAACAGAUUACAGACCUUGAGCUCAUUUACCUGACAUUUUUUUAAUGCUUUAGAAAACUUACAGUUAUAGAAGCUAACAUUGGAAGCACAAUGAGCAAUUGUUAAACUCGGUAAAAUUGCAGUAUAUAACAUGAGCAGUGAUACCUUCAAUAUCGACGAUACCGAUCCAUAAUCACUUUUCUUUACUUCUUCCACAAGAAUAUCCUCAACAACAAGACGAUGCAAUAUACGGGAAGCCUCACCCUUAGCUAGAUGCUUUCCAGCACCAUGAAGGCUCACUGUCUCAUGACGGUUUUUCUUGACCUUUGUUUGACAUUAGAAGUACACUAUCAAGAACGAUAAUAUAUUGCAAAGAAUGAAAAAGAAAGAAAACAAAUUAAAUGUUUAUGGCAUACCAUUUGGCUAAAGGAACCACGAUAGACUUCUAAUAUAUGAGAUGAUGAGAACCUCUGUCCCGUUAGCUUAACAAGUUCAACCUAAGCAUAAGACAACGAAAAAGUAACUGAAACUGCGAACGAGAGGACUCAAAUAUUACACUCUAAUAGAACUUAAAUAAAAUUAAAGACUAUGUUGAUAGAAAAUGUUUCCAAACCAAUUGCUUUGCUAUCUCUGUGACAUCCUUCUCAAUGAAAUUUGUGAUCUUCAAGCAAUUAUCACACGUUUUGUGACAAGUUGAAGAAUUGAACUUCUCCCCAAAAUGAACAAGCUGCAGAAGGCGCCGACAGUCGACAUCAUUUUCACAAUAACUAACCUGAGGCAGUUGAAGACAAAUAUUUAGUGAUAUAAUAAUAAUAACUAUAAUUAGAAUCUCAAUUUUUAAAAUUUACCAUUCGCAUAAGGUUUUCGGUGUUCGUUUCUAGUAUGCUUCCAGGAUUUAUCAUAUUUGAACGAUUGUAUCCAGAUGUCAUGGGACUUUGCUCUAUUGCUCCUUGACUUAUCAUAUGCUUGACUCGUAUCUGUAAAUAUGAGAUGCAAUUAUACAUAAGCAAUAAAGUUGAGUAAGAAGAUGGGAUCUCAGUCAUCACUCGUUUCAUUUGAUUUCCACUAAUAUGAAUGCUAACUUAGGUUCAAGAAACAUUAAAAUACAAGAGGGUUGUGAUCGAUACUAACAUAAUCACUAUAAUUAUAAUAUAAUACACAGGAUGAACGUUGACCAUCUCUACCAGCUCGGCCACAUUCCUGAGAGGAAAAUAAGAAGCAUGCACGUAAGCCAACAGAUGCAAAAGCUAUAUACCUAACAUAUUUGAUAUUCUGCCAGUACCUGAUGAUAGCCUUCAAUAGAUUUUGGGAGAGAAUGGUGAAUUACAAAGCGGACAUCGGGUUUAUUAAUACCUGAAAUAACAAGUAUAAAAUGUGAUCUCAUACAAUUAAUUAAUGCAAUAGGCAAUAGCAAGGAAGUAAAUAUACCCAUUCCAAAUGCUACUGUAGCACAAAUUAUAUUGAUUUCAUCUUUGCUCCACUGCUUUUGAACAAAGGCACGUUGAGCAGGAUCCAUGGUACCAUGAUAAAAUGCACAUUUAUGUCCACAUUCCUGAACAAUGAAUAUAACUAGAUAAUGUAUUCACAAGCUGAACGAAUUGAUAGUAGCUUCCACAUUUAUUUAUUUUUUUUCAAUUAAAAAAAUGAAUCAGCUUGUUAAAACUGGGCUCUACAUUCAGGAAGGUCACCAGAUUGCACUGAUGCUUUUUAUCAGAUACCCACAUCUUCAUGCAGAAACAGUGAAACAAAACAAAAAAACAUGAACCAUGAUGAAAAAUGAAAGAAAAGCUAGAGCAAACCAAAAAAUCACUGCCAAUUCAACAUAUUACACUUUCUAGUCUAAUAUACAAAUAUGAAAUAAUAAGAACUAACCUGUAAAUUGCUAGCGACCUUUUCACAGUCCAUUCGUGAAAGACAAUAGAUAAUGCCACAUUCAUCAAAAUGAUUCUCUCUAAUGAAUUUGUCAAUGUCUUCCAAACACUUUUUGGUCUUCGGGACAACAGAAUACCUGCAAUGUUAAAAAUGAACAUGAUUCAUCCAUUGAAGGUUUAGCAAGAAAUCAAUUCUUCAUUUAACACACCAUAAGUUUGGGCGAUUAAAACUUUGCCGAAAAACAACACAGUUAACAAGACCAAGUGCUUGCACGACAUCUUCUUUUACGCUAGCAGUUGCUGUAGCUGUUAAAGCUAAAACUGGAGUAUUUGGGAAUUUCUGUUUUAAUAUACCAAGUCCCUGGUGAAAUCAAGAGUAACAAUUAAAAUUUAAACAAUACAUUAUCAUAGAUUUGCAUCAAUUUGAAGGGUACAAAAGCUCCAACCUGAUAAUCUGGUCUAAAAUCAUGCCCCCAUUGGCUCACACAGUGAGCCUCGUCAAUUACAAUCCUUGCAAGCAGCUCACGAAAAUGUAAAUUUUCUAAGUGUCGCAAAAGAUUAUCACUUCUGCAGUCAGUAAAAAUAAUAGCAUCAUGAAAAAAAUGAAGAAUAUGACUCUUAGGUUAAAAUGUCUCAGAAUAGAGCAGCUAUCAAUGAUGGCACUCACUUGACAACCUUUUCAGGUGUCACAUAUAAUAACUUGUAUUUACAGUAAUCAGAAUUAAGUUCUCGGAGGAUCUCCUGCUGUUCAGUCCAUUCCAUAUUGGCACUUAAGUAAGCAGCUGGUAUAUUUAACUGUAAGCCAAGCCAACAGGAGCAAAUAAACAUCUAUCUAUCAAUCAGAAAAACACAGGGCAGAAAGAGGAAGCAAGUUACAAAAUCAGCAAUACCUGCAGUAAAUGCAUUAUUUGAUCCUGAAUAAGGGACACAAGGGGAGAAAUUACUAAUGUUAUACCAUGACAAACAAGAGCCGGUAACUGCAAGACAAGACAUUGUAAGAUGACAGUUUUGGUAAAAUCUAGACAAAUAUAUCAACAAAACCAAUAAAAUGAGAUAGGGAAAAGGCCAUAACUCAAAAAAGGUCUUUAGAAAGAUCAUAUUACCUGAUAAGUCAGACUCUUUCCACCACCAGUGGGCAUCAAAACAAAAACAUCACAUCCACUCAUUGUGGCAUUAAUGACCUCUCUUUGAUUGGGGCGAAAGGAAUGAUUUCCAAAUACCUUUUUAUUAUUAACCUGUAAACAAAUAAAAAAGUUAUUAAGAUGAGUUACAUUCACUGGAAACUGACAAUAUAUUCAGUUAAAUACCUCUAACUCUUUUGUCCAAGGAAAAUCGUGGCUGCUCCAGCGUUUGUCUCCGGAACCUUCAAUGUAAUUAACUUCGACAAUCUUUGGGAUGAACGCUUCACGCUCCAACGGACCAGAUGAUGUGCUAUAAUUGUCUACAGAAAAAGAUGGAAGAGACUGGAAUGUUGAACCACAUGUCCCAUUACCCAUAUAAACCUGAGUAUCGUAUUGCUUGGAUCCAUUACAGGCACCAGUUUGCUGAGGUGUUUCAUACACAUAUGAUGUGGAUGGUGCCGUGGAUGCAGAAAAAUGUGACUUUUGCCUUUCCUCGUUAAGAUUACUUGAUUGAAUAUAUUUUUCUAGUUGCUGAAUUUGAUUAUUCAACUGUGACCUAGCAUUUGGGACAAGUUUUAUUUUCAACUCAAAUGCUAUUCAAUUAAAAAAGAAUAUGCUGUAAUUUUUUUAUGCAUAAUAAUUUAGAAAAACACAACUGUAAAUUAAAAAAAAAAAAAAGAUGAAAAUGUUACAAACAAUGUAAUUCCAAGGGAAAUGCACACCUAUCAUGGCGAAGCUUUGAUAUCUGUGUAGAAUUGAGGUUUUCACCAUUGUCGAGCAGUUCAUUAGAGAUUGCAAUUAGAUUAUCCUUCAAUUCCUGCAAAUGAAUUGCUGCUUCAGGGCAAAGCCCUAGCUGCAUCCAAUUUAGGAUUAGGCCUAUCAAUCUGACAAAUGAACAUGGAUAACUUGUGAAAGAUCAAAAUACCUUGUACCCAUGGAUGCAAUCUAAACACAGGUCUGGUGGCAAAACAUCACCCCCCUGUCUAGCAAAUUCAUCUUUAUNUGCAUUNGGUGUUACAGGAGGAAGCUUGGAUAUUGANNGCUUAGGAGUGCAGGUCGACUGGUAUUUCUCAACAAUUUGGUCAACAUCAAUGUUCUUAAAGGCAACCAGAAGCAGGACGGAAACAAAGAGAGAGAAAUCAGCAUCUACAUGGAUCUAAGCAGUUUGGAUAAACUUGACUAGGUAACGGUUUAUUUUUAAGAAAAAAGCAACAAAGCAGCCACACCAACUACGGACAAAAGAACAUAAUUAGAGAGUGAAUAAAAUGGCCAAACAUCCUCUUCAGUUUCCACUUCACAAAAGAAUUGUGCAAACUACUACCUUCAAGUUGGAAUAACCAACACACAUUCAUCGGCAAACUAGUAGUAAAAGACUGAAAGUUAAACUAACUGAUAGAAAAUUAUGUAUGACUGCAACUGAUAACUAUGGUAAGCCCUUUGAUUUUAUAUCAGUUCAUUCAAAAACAAUAAAAUCAAGCAAGUGGCAACAAAUUGUUGGCAAUUCUAACAUGCAAGCCUAGUGAGACCCAAAUGAAUUUGAAUCAUUUAAAUUAAUCAAUCCGUACUAAAUUACCUCAAGUAUGUUAUCAUCAUCAAUAUCUCCAGACAUGCAGUUAGAAGACUCGUUGAUUUGACCUGUGCACUUAUUAUGAUUGUUCAAUGAACCAUCCAAACCCCAAGAAGUAUUUUUGCUAACUGGAAUGUCAGUGACAUCAGGACACAUACGGUUGUCAUUCUGAUAGCCUCCAUGGAUUGGUGCUGUUCUCGUAUUCUCAUGACUUUGCCAGUUAACAUUGACAUUUUUUCCAGGUUGUACAUAGUUCCUACUAGAAUUUUGUAGACUUGAAAGAGCAUCCCAAGCCUGUCAGGAAUUGUUUCAACAGAAGUUAUUGCAAACUAUAGAAGUCUCAAAUAAGAAUAAUUACAUGUGCAAACUAUUCGCUUUCAUAUAACAGUUAUACUACUAUACCUUGUCAAAUUGUACUCUCUGUGAAACUUGAAUAUUUUCACUUCGUUGAAAAACAAACCUGAGAGAAUUGACGCAUUAGAGAGCAAGCUGAAACUGAGCUGAAAUCCAUAUAUUAAUCUAGCAAAUCAAGUUCCACAGAAAUAGCACAGUCACAGUUGACAAAGGAAACCAACAAAUAAAAUCCCUUCAAAAACGAUCUCAGCACUGGACGGCAAAAAGUGGAGUAAGAAGAUAUAAUCCAAGAUGGUAACUUUGAAUUGAAACAAGUUUAAACCAACAUCUACCAUGUUAUUCCGCCGUGUUAGCAAAGCCAUAAUAGUCAAUUGAAGUAAACGGAAAUUUAGACAGAAUUAAUGUUUUGGCAACCCCUGGGAACGAAAUUGAUUUCCCUGUAUACACACAAAACUAGUGAAGCCCCAAAGCCUAGUCAUUCCAAGAAAGACCUAUAAAUCCUAUUGACUAGGAACUCUGGACAUGAGACUCUGAACUAACUGGCAAUGUAACAAAGUACAAGAAUGAAUGACUGUUGAAGUGAAAGGUAUACCCGGCAGUCCCAGGGUCCGGUUCUUGGUGGCGGGGCUUCUUGGGCGGAACAGAGAACAGAAAAUUAGAGCUCAAAAACUUCCCUUGGGAGGAGAAGUUUUCAUGAGCAUUGGCAUGCCGCAACCAGUCCCUGUUAUUUUCUUUAUCAACGCGAACUGAAUUGACUUCACUGUAAACAUUCCAAAACCUAAUUAUACACUAACUAUAAAUGAUGAACCACAAAGAUGGAAACAAGUAAAGCGAACCCAAGCAUCAUUACCCUUGUCUCAUUUGAGUGGCAACCAAACAACACAUUCCCUGCAGAAUCAGAACUCAAUUUGAAUUGCAGCAACACGGCACGAUAAUAAUGAACAAAAAUGAAGAAAAAAAAACUCGUUGGCGUGCCUCAUCAAAACAUGGGCAUCGGUCAAUGGAAGAAAAAAUGCAAUGGAGAUUGCAACGUUGAGUGGAAGUAGAACGGUUCGAAUCAAAACCCUAGAAAAGUGAUUGAGGAGAAAAGUUCGCCGUUGAAACACAGAGAUCCAAACUAUCGUACGGAAGAGAAGAGAGAGAGCUUUUCCAAAGCAUUGGCGGGAUUUUUCAUUUCAACUAAUCCAUUUCUGCAAAAUCUUGAUUUUUUUUUUCUUUUUUUAUAACUCAAUAAAAUAAAAUAUAAAAAAUACUAUCCAAAUCUUUUUAUAAUUCAAUUAGCGUUUUCAACUCCCGCCAGGAAGGUUUACACAUUGCCGAGACAAUGACAGAAGAGGGAAACCUAAAAUUUUAACUUUUCUUUUUUAAAAAAUAAGUUUUUAUUUUGUCUUAAAAAGUAUGAAAAGUUAAAAUUUCUAUAUUUUUAAUUAAUGAUUGAUAUGACAAAAGAAAUAAUUAAAUUUAAAGUAAACACAGACGAAACACAUCAUUUCAUAAAAGUUAAAAUUUCUACAAAAAUUAAAUUUAUAAUUAUAUAAAGUGUAGAACAUGAUUCAUCAAUUUCGAAAUAAAUAAAAAAAUAUAAUAUAAAGACUGCAUCUAUUUAUCCUUCUUUAAAUUUUUAUUUAUUUAUUUUAAGUCUUUCUCGUAAAUUUAAGUAUUUUUAAUUAAGUCUCUGUUAAAAAAAAUUAAAAAUUAAGCAUUUAAUUGUUAGAUUGAUUGGAUAAUGAAUUUACUUUCUUGCCUUAUUAAAAAAAUGACAUUUUAUGUUUAAUAUGAGAUUAUAUUGUUGUUAAUAUAAAAAAUAAAUAAAUUUUAUUACAUUGAAAAUAUAUUGCAUUUAAUUAUUUACAUGUUAUCAUCUAAGGUGAGAUUUUUUAUAUUCACUUAAAAUAAUUUUAUGUUGGAUUAUGGUAUAUCAAUUACAUUAACCAAUAAAUUGUCUUGUUAGUAACAAAACCAUUAUGCUAAUGAAUUCUAUAUCAAUACAUAUAAUAGAUUUUAUUCUACAUGAUUUAAUAAAAAUCAGCCACUUCGCAUUAAUAGUAAUAUUGUUGUAUAUUAACUACAUGGUAUUUUUUUUAUCAUGGAAAACAAGAUUGUUCUUUUGAAAGAUAAUUUGACAAAAAUUAAACUAAAAAUACUAUAUUAAAACUAUAUAAAAAUUGGAAUACUCAACAAACAAACAAAAUUUAAUAGAGAUUUAAUUGAAAAGAUUCUAAAACUUAAUUAAGUAUUUAUUUAACAAGUAAAAUAUUUAAUAUUUAAUUGUAUACAUUAUCUUAUAAUUGAACCUUUAUUUAUUUACAAAAGUUUAUAUUUUAUUAACAUUUUAAUUUAAAUUUUUGUUUACAAUUUUCAUCGAGUAUAUUUUUUCAUAUAGAAUUAUAUAAUACUUUUGUUUCUCUAAAAUUGAAAAUACGAAAAGUGAAUAAACUUUUUUUUAUCUUUGUAAAUUUGUAAAAAAAAAUAAAUAAUGUACAAGAAAUAUAAGUAUAUUUUGUUUUUGAAAUGCUAAAAAAAAUCGAUAUCCUAAUAAAGAAAAGUUUAAUAUCAUUAAUUUUAUUUGAAGUUAUUUAAUGUUAUGUUUAAAAUAAUUAAAUACCAAAAUUCAUAUUCAAUUAUGUUAAACAUCAACUUUGUCUGAAUUUAAAUAAAAUUAUUUAAAUUAAAAAAAUUUAAAAUAAUAUUAUAAUUUUGUUAUUAUUUUUAAGUAAAAUUACUAACUUCAUCAUGUACCGAAUUGAAAAUAAAAAAAAGUUAAAAAUAAUAAGAAAAUAUAUUAAAAUAUAAAUAAAAAAAUCAAAUAAUUAAUUAGCUAAACAACUUAUAAAUUACAAAUUAAAAACUCAUUUAUUGAAUUAUUGGAGACACUGUGUGAUACAUUUUCAUAAUACUCAGACUAUCUUGUUCUGAUCUAUAUUGUAUUAAUCUAAUUUGAGUGGCGUAACUUUCAGGGAAUGAAUGGCGAGCAGUGAGUCUCAGCUUCUGCGUCGCCACUUCGAUUAUGGCGGUGCUCAGGUAAGGCAACCACCGUGCCGUAUUCUCUUCACUUCAUUUUUUCAUUUUUCUCUUCUCAUGAACAAUAAAUUCAUCAAUAAGAGCAGACAACUAAUUCAAUGAUCGCAAACCCAAAAUCCAUUGACAUGUUGUUCUGCAUGUGUGUGUCUCCGAUGGCAGGUGCCACCGGUUCUUAGAAGGAGUUCGAGGUUCCCAUUUUGGAAGUCAGUGCAUGCUAAUACUGAUCCUAAUCCAAAGAAUCAUCUAAGUCUAAGAGUGAAGAUGCAAGCGCAAGCAGAUACGAUGAUGAAGCCCGUUUCUGAUAACAAAAUCCCACAUGUGCUAACUGUUGCUGGGUCUGAUUCUGGGGGUGGUGCUGGAAUCCAAGCUGAUCUCAAGGCUUGUGCUGCACGCCGGGUUUACUGUUCCACUGUCAUUACUGCUGUCACUGCGCAGAACACUGUUGGGGUUCAGGUUCGAUUUGAUUUUAAUUUCAUAAUGAUAAGGACUCAUCUGUUUCGUUUUAGCCUGAUUACUGAACUUGAUUUUCAUGCAUGUUGAGCUGGCUUAUGUUAUACUGGAAUCAAGUUGGGCUUGUUCGAGGCUUAUCCGUAUGAUGAACUAUGUUCUUUUUUUUACCAUUUUUCUAAAAUCUGUGGCUUGUAGGGUGUGAACAUUGUACCUGAGGAUUUUGUGGCAGAACAGUUGCAGUCCGUGCUUUCUGAUAUGCAUGUUGAUGUGGUAAGUGAAAAUAGUGACUGCAACGGCUAUUAGAAACCGGAUUUAUUAUCUUAUAGGGCAUGUUGGUCUGUUCAAACUAGCAAGUUCAUGGAUUGCUAACGUUUCCACCUUCCGGCAUGACUUGCUUCUUAAAGUCAACGUUAUUUCUUUUCCGUAAUCCAGUUUUAUUGUUUGUUUUGAUUUACUCAGUUAUGCGGGUGCUUACUUUCUGAUUUCUUGGUUAAUGGUGUUUGGUAUUAUUUUUUCCAUUUGAAUUAAUUAUCCUACGUCUUUAGGUCAAGACAGGCAUGCUUCCUUCUCUUAAUAUAGUUAAGGUUCUCUGUCAGACCCUUAGGAAAUUUCCAGUCAAAGGUAUUCACUUGUACAAAAAAUUCUAAUGUAUUUGUUCAAUUGCAAUUGGAGUGACUCUGUACUGAUUUCUUUUUUUCUGAAGGCAGCUCUCGUGGUUGAUCCUGUCAUGAAAUCUUCCAGUGGGGAUGUACUUGCUGGUUCUUCUGUUCUGACUGGAUUUCUGUAUGUGUUUCUGUACUUGAACUGUACUGUUUUUGUUUGACAUGAAAGUGUUUUUCAUAUUCUUCCGUCUUCCCUACUUGAUCUGGAUUUAUUUAAAGUCCUUUGAUUAUAUAAUAGCCUUAUGCUUAAUUUUCUUUGUUAUGGGUUUCUGCUUGUUAGUUUUUACAUUUAUUGGUGGAUAACAUUAAGAAAUUAUAUGUUUAAAAUUCAGUUUUAUUUUUGUUACAGUCACUGAAAUGAUUUCAAAAUUCACAUUUAUUACAAAACCCGUAGGAAAUCAGUUCAAUUUAUUUAUUGGAUACUGAAUGCAGGGAGGAGCUGCUUCCCAUGACUGACAUUGUAACCCCAAAUAUAAAAGAGGCAUCAGUUUUACUUGGAGAUGUGCCGCUGAAAUCAGUGUCUGACAUGCGUACUGCUGCCAAACUAAUACAUGAUAUGGGCCCUAGGUUUGUUUCUUUUAAACUAAGGAUUUUUUGCCUCUUGCUGUUACUAAUAGUUAUUUCUCAAGUGUAAGUAUUUUUUUUCUUAGCUAAAAUGAGCUGUAUGAGUAGUAGACUUCCAACCUUAACCUGCUUGUUCGGCACAGCUUUAACUUUACAAUAUGACUCAUGGACCUUUUAAAAAUUUAUUUCAUAUUCUCUUACAUAGUUCAAACUAUGAUAUCAAUAAUUAAAAAAAGGAUUACUGAGAAAACAAAUCUGUAAGAGUGAUAAAUGUCUAUAUUUUUCUGGAAGGAGAAACAUACCUUACUGAAAUCAUUCUUCCCAUAGGAUACUACUUAGUAAAUUUCUUUUACAUAACUAUUAGAACUUUGUAGUGAAUUGAGCUUCCAAAAUCAGAAAAGACAGUCAUGAAAAUUGUAUGUAUGUUAUAUAUACACUUUCAGCUGAAGUUGAAAAUAUUUCAUAUCACAUGAAAUAGUUACUAGUAUAAUAUCUGCCUUUAUUGUAGUAGUAUUGCAUUGCCUUUGUUUAUUUUCUUAUUUAUCUUCAGAGUUUCCCUAGAAACUUGGAAGAAAAUGUACCUGUGAUACUGUUUACAUCUAAAUGACCGAUACGAUAUCCAAAGCCAGAACAUGGAGUCAGACUUCUACCAAAAACUUUCCAUAAGAAUGCACUGUAUUUCGUACAUGUCUCGUGUAAAUAACCUCUAGUGAAGUUUGAUUAUAUGUAUUAUAUAUUGAUUUGCAAUAAGUAAAUUAUUAGAUUGUUUCCCUAAAUUAGUGAGGCCCAUCAAUUACUUCGCCUGCUUCUAUUAGCAGAAAAUUGGGAUGGUGUUGUAUAUAUAAAAGAGUUACACUUCAUGGAUAAAGGUCAUAAUAAAAAAAUAUAAUAAAACUUCAACUUCAAAGUAUUGUGCAUUUACUGAUUAUUAUUUUUUUUUUUUUGUAGGAAUGUACUCGUCAAAGGUGGUGACCUCCCUAAUUCGUUAGAUUCUGUUGAUGUAUUCUUUGAUGGUGAGAUUCAAGUCUUUAAUGAGACACAAUGGACAUAAACAAAAUCUAUCAGACAUAGCAACCCUCUGCAAAUGUAUGUCCAAAUCUUUUUUCAAAACGAACUCCACUUAUAGAUCUUGAGUUUUGCAGGUGAGGAGUUCUACGAACUUUGUUCACCACGUAUAAAUACCCGCAAUAGUCAUGGUACUGGUUGUACCUUGGCGUCAUGCAUAGCUGCAGAGCUGGCAAAAGGUUCUUCAAUGCUUUCUGCAGUUAAGGUUUGUUCAGCUAUCUCAAAUUAUUUUAUAAUGAUAUUGAAGGAUCUCAUUGGGCAAUGCCCAUGAUUUACUCCCCUGUUAUUCUCUCUCUGUAAUUUAGAUACAAAAGAAACAAAUGAAAAUAACAGAUAUUGAAUGAUGGAAUAUUCUAUAAUUGUGAUAAUUUUUCUUAUCUGGAUUCUUGCAGACAGCCAAACAUUUUAUUGACGUUGCCUUGGAUUAUAGUAGAGACCUGGCAAUUGGAAAUGGAGUUCAAGGACCUUUUGACCAUUUUUUUGAACUUAAGAAUAUCAAUCACAGUUCUUGGAGGCAGAAUAUGUUCAACCCAAAUGACUUGCUUUUAUAUGCUGUAACGGAUUCAGGUAUGAAUAGGAAGUGGGGCCGUUCUAUUGCUGAAGCUGUUAAGGCUGCUGUAGAAGGAGGUGCUACCAUUGUUCAAUUAAGGUUUGUUUGAUCAAAUAUGCUUUGGUUUUUGUACCACCCUAUACAUCUUACAGAAUAUGUGAGAUUCCUUGUCAUCACUAUUUGACAGUAGAUAGAAUUCACAGUGAUUUAAUAUGCUAGGCAGGCACCCUAUUCUAAAGAUCUGGAAAUUACUUUUUUUUUUUCGUGAACAAUCUUAACCUUAUUCUUGAUUUUUUAUUUUGUUUAUUUCCUUCUCUCUCACCCCUUCUCCGCCCUACUGAAAAAAACAUUAAGCAUCCAGUAUUUAUUGGCUGAAUAGUUGAAGUUUAGCUGAUUGUUACAUCAGGAAUAUUUUCUAUUAUUGUGUGUCCAGAUUUCUCUUUGUUGUAUUUGAAGCCUGCUUUAUGGUGCUUCUCAUCUCUUGUAUGUACAAUUAAUACAGUCCCUUUUCUCUCCUUUCCUCACUCAACACUUAAAAUCUCCCGAGUUUUAACAUGCAGCAAUCAUUUUUUUAGCCUGAUAUGCGUCUGACUUUUCAGGGAAAAGGAUGCUGAGACACGGGAUUUUCUUGAUGCUUCCAAAGUAUGCCUUGAAAUAUGCCGUUCCUAUGGAGUACCAUUACUGAUAAAUGAUCGUUUAGAUGUGGCCCUUGCCUGUGAUGCCGAUGGUGUUCAUGUUGGUCAGUCUGACAUGCCAAUACGUCUUGCAAGAAGCCUACUUGGUCCUGAAAAGAUAAUCGGUGUGUCAUGCAAGACGCCUGAGCAGGCCCACCAAGCAUGGAUUGAUGGGGCUGAUUACAUUGGUUGUGGUGGUGUAUAUCCCACUAAUACAAAAGCAAAUAACCGUACUAUAGGCUUAGACGGCUUGAAGAAAGUAUGUGAGGCCUCUAAACUGCCUGUGGUAGCAAUUGGUGGCAUUGGUCUGUCAAAUGCACGUGCGGUCAUGGAAAUUGGUGAACCAAAUCUGAAAGGGGUUGCUGUUGUGUCUUCUCUGUUUGACAGGGAAUGCAUCUUGACUGAGACAAGAAACUUGCACGCCUUAGUAAGUGAGCCAGCAUUAUUGAUACAAUGAAUAUGCCCAAAUGUGGGAGCAAUUUUGUUUAGCUCUCGUAAGGGAGUGAUACAACAGUUGGUUUGCUUUUCAGCUAGGAUGGAAAUAUGCGACUGCUGAUUCUUUAUGCGAAAUGCUAAACUUAAAAAAUUCAAAUAAGGGAAUUUAUGCGAUGCUAAACAAUCGUGGGUGGCAAGACAAAACGUAUUUGGAGGUUCAUUCAUUUGCCUAUAUUAUAUGUUCGGUGUACCUUCUGAUUUAUAGCUUGAAUGAUCGCAAGAUUUAUUGCUCAGAAAAAAUUAGCCUGCUUUUGUUUUUUUGUACUUUUUCUACUGUACAAAAAUAAUCAGACUAUUUUCAUCACCAACGUUUUGCAAUGAUAUAAAGCCUCGGAACUUUUUAAUAGAGCAUUGACUGGUUUUUUACAACAAAGUAAAAUAAAAUACCCUCAGCCUAAACCAUUGUAAGCUCUGAGGUAACUUCUUUGGCAUAAUAAAUAUUAUUGACAUAAUAUAUGAAUUGGUACAAUUCCACCGAAGAUGGAGACUUAUUAUAACUAUUAUAAAAGUUAAAUACUUUGAUAAAUUAUCGUACUAGUGAAACAAUUUCUUAUGCUAAAAGGUUAGGAAGAACUAAACUAUAUUUUGCUGUACAAGAUUGAGUUACAUAAAUUAAAAGCUUCUACUACAGUUAUCAUAUAGCUGAGAGACAUGCAAAAGGUAAAAAAAAGGACACAAGGAAACACUACACUCAGCAUUUUGACCUCCAAACAAAAGCAUGUCACCCUAAAUCCAUUCGCACAUAAAGAAGGGAGGCGAGUGGAAUGGGGAGCAGAAAGGACAAGUUAAUAUUUAUAAGAUGGUCAAUUUAACAACCUUAGAAAAAAUGUACAUCCGUUUAUUCAACUACAAGUCCUAUGCGGAAAACUGAAUUUUAUACAUACGAGCAAAACACUCACCUUAGUUGAACUAAACCAGGUGCAAAGGAAACCAAGAAUCUAUUGCUCUAUCUAAAAAUUAACACUAACUAACAUGAAAUUCCCCGCUUGCCUGUGCUUCUUUGACUCUCUUUUCAUACUCAUCUUCCUCAGCUUCAACCUCUGCUUCUUUUGUUUCAUCUUCAUCUUCUUCUCCUCCCCAACCAAAUCCUCCAACUGACCUGGAUGCCGGUGGUGGAAUCUUGGCCUCCUCAACAAUAUUCAUGAUGUCUUCUAUACUCUGAAGUGAAAAGGUUGGAUUUUCUUUUCUGUAGUAGGCAGCUUGAGCUACUUCUGUUAAUUCUCUAGGCAAGUUCUUUAAAAACCACGGGUGGGACUUGAUUUCCUUAAUGGUAAUUCUCUGCAGUAAAUCAAUAUCUAGAGUGACAAUUUAUUUUACCACAAAAUGUCCACUUGUGAAUUGUGAUGAAAGGGAAAGAGGGUAGCUUAAGCAUACAUGCCCUUAUCAGUUCAUAUCUGAAACUUAGCAAAUGACUGAAAAAAUAUUACCAAACUAACACUAUGAAAUUGUUGAACAAUUAUGAGCCAACUUCAAGUAAUAUCUUUUGCAGGCAGUAUGUGCAUACCCUAGCUGGAUUUGCCACAAAAAUGCGAGAUAGCAUAUGUCUGCAGUCUUGAGAUAUGUGAACAUAGUCGGGGAUCUUGUAUUGAACAGCCAUAAUUCUCUGUAUAAGAAUGUUACACAGUCAGAAAGUGCAGGCAUUUAAUAAAUUGGUCAACUGAGAUGGAUGAUGGGAAGAAAAGUACAUUGAUGGUUUUCCUAAAAUUUUUGGGAUCGUCUUGGUCUUCAAAUGGGUAUGCUCCCACCAACAUUACAUAAAGAGUCACUCCACAGGACCAUACAUCAGCUAGCUGAAUAGAAACAAAACAACAAAGAAAAACUAGAAAAUGAACAUCGUUGAUGUAUAAUGCACAAAAAACUCAUCAAGAAAGAUUUAAUCUAUCCGUGGCCACUUCAAAUAUUUCCUUUGUCACCUUUGUAAAAAAUAUUCAGAGCAAAUCACACAAAUAAGUACAACAUGGCUUUAUUUUCUAAGAGCAUUUUGUAUUGUAAACUAUCCCAUUCGCACAUACUGUUUUGUCCACGUUAUUCAGAUAGUUAAAUGUCGACACAUCAAGUCAUUGCAUACAAUGCUCAAUAUUGCAACACAUUGAGACAUUUCAAGGCAUCCUUACUAUUAUACCACAGUAGAAACAAAAUUACCUUUCCAUCGUAUUCUCUGCGUGAAAGAACCUCAGGCGCAAUGUAGGCUGGGGUUCCCACAGUUGACUUAGGCCUUGAAUGAAGCAGGGAUGACUGGGAAAAUAAAAGGUUAUCAGAUGCAAAACUGCUAAAGAAAAUGACUUCAUAAUUCAUUUGAAGCAAUAAGCGUUGAUAUCGCUCCCAUAAUCGAACCUUAGAGUAACCAAAAUCACAAAUUUUGAGCCUUGGAGCAGGGCUGCCAUCCAAUAAGGUGUUUUCAAGCUUCAAGUCUCGAUGACAGAUUUGCUGCAAAAGAAAGAAAUUACAAAGAAAAUAACCGCAAAUGAAGCCAAAAACUAACUACCAUCUGAAACAACUCAUUCCCAAUAUAAUUAUUCUAUUCACCAUGGAAUGACAGUAGCUAACUCCUGAGAUGAGCUGCUGGAAGAAAUAUCGACCCUGGAAAAGUAGGAGAUAACGAGAAUGAGAAUCAAACAAUUGAAUUUCCAAGCACUCGGUUGCCAACAAUGAAGUGAGGGAAGGGGAGAUAAGUAGCUUCGUGCCUGUGAUGAGUAGAGAAGUGAAAAAAGAAUUGGCGGACAGAUGAAAAGAGAGAAAGCGAACAAACCUCAUCUUCACUGAAUCUUCCAGCACUGCAAAUCCUCUCAAAGAGCUCUCCACCAGCUGCAUACUCCAUAACAAUACCCAGAUGAGUAGGAGUCAAGACCACCUGCAAAGCUGAAAUCACAUAUUAAAUAACCUAAACAUGACACACACAGUACUCUCACUAAGAUCAUAUCAUCUGUACAGAGUACAAACCUCCUUGAACCGAAUAAUAUUGUGGUGGCGAAGACUUCUAUGGUUUAUGAUUUCCCUGGCAACAUUCUCAUCAAUCUAGAAACACACACGUCAAUAAACUCAGUCACAGCCAACACGAACAUAAAAAAUAAAAAAACUAAAAGAGAUGAAACCGGUGAUAUAUGUUAACUUGAAUUGAAUCCUUUUUUAAGGUUAUAAAAAUUGACAAUAACAUGAAUUUUAAGAUAAUAAGAAGUUAAAGUGAAAGUAAAAGGAGUACAACCUUGUGACCCCUUUCAAUGUAUUUCAUGGCAACUAGCUCCUUGGUUUCUUUGUGCCGCAUGAGCCUUGCCACACCAAAAUUCCCAGAUCCUAUAUCCUUGACGAGCUCGUACUUCUCCAUCCUGAACCGGAAAUUUGAGAGCUUUGAAUGCGGUUAGCUCCAGAUCGAUAGAGUUCCAAAUGGGGAAUGGAGAGAGAAUAAGGUGCAGCUACGCAAAAUAAAGGUGGCGAAUCCAGGUUCUGAAGGAAAGCAAAGAAUCGCAAUUUGCAGCAAAUUAAUAAUAAUCAAAUCCGGAUUUCAAAACAAAAAAGUUUGAAACUUUGUUGAAGGAAUGAACAGAAGAAUUGCAACUUGAAGAAAGGGCUUUUCAUCGAAGAAUGAGAGAGUGGAGAAUGGGACAAAGGAAUUGUUGUGUUAUGUGUGCGUAGCGUAGUAGUAUGGUGUAUGUUACUACAGAAAGCGAUUGAUACAAAAAGAGAAUAUGAAUAUCGUAUCUAUCUGUAUGGAACCUUCUUCACACAUCCUCUUCAAAUUAAUCUCACUCUAAUCUUAUCGUUAUCCUACACAAUUAUGCUAUUUUAAAUUAAUAUAAUAUGUUUCUAUAUUUUGGAAAGGAAAAUGAUAUUUUAACACCAUUUUUUGACACUGUACACGUGUCAAAAUGUGAUUGGACGAUUUCAAAUUAAAAAAGUUGAGAAAGGGGUAUGUUUGGAAGAGAAAAACCAAAGUUGUUUUUUAAUUUGAAAUCGUCCAACCAUAUUUUGACACGUGUGCAGUAUCAAAAUAGUGUAAAAAAAUGGUGUUAAAAUUUUAUUUUACUUUUGGAAAUUCAUCUUCUUAUAUAUAAUUAUAAGAAUUGAUUGAGUUCAAGUUUUUGUAUUUAUAUUUUUUUCUAACACAAAUUUCCAUUUCCAUGAUUAUGGAAGGAACCACAUUUCAAUGCGUGCCUUCUUGUCCCAUCAUUCGCCUUCAUUUUUUGACUUCUUGCCUAAUAAUAAUGUUUUUAUUUAAUAUAAAAAAAUAUUCCAUUAAAUUAUAGCCAUAUUAUAUGGAUUUAAUUUAUAGAAAAUUUAUCUUCUCCAUUAAAAAAUUAAUUAGUAAAUAUUUGUUAUUAUAUUAUUAUUACUAUUAUUAUCUUACAUGUACAAAUAAUAUUGUCUUUUAUUGUAUUUCAGGUAUAAGGUCAAUUACUUAAAACAACUUAAAUUGUUAUUUCCUCUGUAUUAAAGUAAUUUACUUACUAACUGAUUCAAUAAUACUAGGUAAUGUACUAAAGUCAACUUAAGUUUGAUCAAUUAAAACAGUUAAUGUUACAAUAAAUGUGUAAUAAAAGUUUUAACAACAUGUAUUUGAUUCAUUUAUAAUUUCUUCCAUGACCGUUUAAUUAUGUUCUGUCUAAUUACAAUUUAAUUUUCUUUAAACCUAAUUAUCUAUUUAUAUUAAUAAGAUAUUUAGAUGAUCAUACUUAAAAAGGAUCAGACUCUAAUAGAUAAUUACACUCAGUAUGUAUGGUUUGAUGUAUAUAUAAUAUAUAUUAUUUUUUAAGUAAUUAAGUUUUAUUCAAAUCCACUAUGUAUAUCAACCUCUUUUGAUUAAAAUUCUUAAAAUGAGAAUAAAAACUAAAAAUAUCACGAGCUCUAUUUUUACAAUAAAAAACAUAUAUAUUAUUAUUACAAAUUAACUUUUGUAUUAUUUCAUUUCACAUAAUAAAAAUAUGUCUUAUUUCUAAAUUACUUACAGAAUUAAAAUUCAAUUCUAAAAUUUAAUUUUCAUAUAUCGACUAAACUUAAAAAAACUAAUAAAUUAUUUCCUAUAAAAAAGAUAAUAAAAAAUUUAUUUAUAUUAUUGUCCAUGUCUCCAUUUAGAGUAGGGUCCCUUUUAAGUGGGGUUUUGAGGACCCUAAAAAGCUUAUAGAAUCAGAACCUACGAAUGGGCCAUUGGGUCCAUUGUCUUUUUAUGUCACUUGUUAUAAAGUUAUAGACAAACUAUACAAUUUUGCUUUUGGAACCUCCAUACUAGCAACAAAAAUACUAAAAUAAGUAAUUAAAUAAGAGAAUUUACAUAAAAUAAAGCCUCGUCUUAUAACAUGUGUUGAGUAAUAAAUUUCAAGUCAAAAUUAAACUUAUUAAAUUGACUUGGAAUAUAUAUAUAUAUAUAUAUAUAUAUAUAUAUAUAUAUAUAUAUAUAUAUAUAUAUAUAUAUAUAUAUAUAUAUAUAUAUAUAUAUUUUGUAAAUUGAUUUUAUCUUUAAUCAUGCUAAGACAUAUACAUAUCGAAUGUGAAACGAAAUAUUAAUAGCUCACACUAUAUAAAUAAUAAAGUAGAUAAAUAUAAAUAUCGUUUUUCAUACAAAUUUACGUUGUUUAAAAGAAUCAUGUUUAUUCUGCUAAUCAAGGUUAGGAAAACGUUGAAAUGAUAAAAAAUAUGUUUAAUACAACAUUUGGUCUCUAGUUUGGGUGUUCAAAGUCGUCUAACCUUUUAAAAAAGUUCACUAUUGUCCCAUAUUUUGUUAAAAACGGUUCAAGUUGGUAUUUUUGGUUUACGACUUGAAAAACAUAAUAGUGUAAUGGUGUGGCAACUGUGACUUGUCCAAAUUUUUAUGACGUGGCAAUUGUGGCCCAUUGAUGUGGCAAUGUUAAUGUAAAAGGAUAGGAGUACACCGUGAAACCCUACUUUCCCUAAGGCCAUAAACCCUUGUGUCACUACCAUGAAACCUUAGCCGUCGUUGCUGCUGCAAAACGAAACACGCCACCACCAAACCCUCGGGUCACCAUGCCGCUGUCACCAUCAUCAACACAGACCGACAAUUCAAAGUAGAGAAAAGCAACAAAAUCCCAUAAAUCAAACCCUAAACACCAUGAAAUCCUAAACCGCGUCGCCAAUAAUCAGGACAAAAUCUCCACCAUGCGUUACGCUUUACCACCAUUAAGUAAGAACCAAAUCGAAAUCCCUAACUUACAAACCAGAAAUUUCAACCCAAAUAUGAACAAGAAAAUCGCAAUCACGAUACUUAGAAACCCAAUUCACACUUACAACAAACCAUAAACAUACAUAAUCGCUACCCAAAUCGCAGAAACCUUGGUUCGUAAGCAGCAUUCAUGGGCACCAACCAAAAACACGUAAACAACGUGAAGGUGAAACUCAGUGUUUAUGUUCAUGUGUAGGUGUUCAUGUAAUGCGAAGGCGAAGCUCAAUAUUUACGUUCAUGUGUUUAUAUGUAAUGUUAAAUUUAGUUUUCCCUUUUGUCAAAAAAUGUGCAAUGUGGUCCCCUUUUCAAUUUAAAUAUGUGUACUUUGGUCCCAAAUGGAUAUCAACGAAAAACACAUGAAAUAUAUCUAACUUAGUUUCCACCUCUAAUCCACCAUCUUUGUCCACCUCCACUCCACCAUCCAUAGUUAGUUUCCACAUCCAGUUCGCCAUCUUUAUCCACCUCUACUUCACCAUCCACUUCCUUUCCAUCAUUACUUUCCACCUCCACUCCAUCCUUUGUUUCCACCUCAAACUCUAACCCCCAAAUCCAACAACAAGAACAUUAAAUAACUAGGUUAGGGUUAGCAACACUUACCUCACACAUGUACGCUCUUCAAAUUUGACCUCAAAGGAAUCACCACACUACAGUGAUUACAAGACCAGUUUCACCAGAUUGUUAAACCUAUAAAUCGCGAUAGGAUUCUCAGUUAAGGAUAAUUUGAUUUAACCUAUUAUAUUUUUUAAUUUACACAUUCAAAUAUAUUAUGUGUGCCACGCAUUGCAAAAGCUUUACACAUCAUUCAGUUUUGGCACAGAGGUAAUUGCACCUUAUGUUUCUAACGCCGUAAGUCAAAAGAACCGUUUUGAACCUUUUUUUUUUAAUGAAAUAUGGGACCUAACUGAAUUUUUUUAAAAAAUAUAACGAUUUUGAACAAAAUCCUCAAAACCAAGAAUCAAAUGAUGUAUUAAACCUAAAAAAUAUUAAUUUUUAAUUAUAAAAUAAGUUUAAAACGGUAUAAAGCAAUUAAAUUUAUUUAUUAAAUUUUAAGACUAUAAUUUUUGAAAUAAUAUAUCAAGGUAGUUUUUAUAAGUUUUCAUUUACCGUUCAAAUUGUAUUUGAAAAUAUUUUGAAAAUACUCUUUUUAAUUAUCUAAUAUAAAACAUAGUUACGAAUUUUAGACAUAUGUUUUAUCUUAAACAAGUUUAAAAACCUGUCAUAUGGUUUGGAAAACUUUGAAAAGAUUUAACAGAAAGAUUUAGAAGUAGCCAUUGAAAUAGACAUGAAAGGUAAAAUAAUUAUUUAAAAAAGUAAGAGGAUGUAGGCAAUAAUUGUGCAAGUGCAAAAAGAAAAAGGCACACUAUACUCCAAAAACCCAAUUCAAUCUACUGUCCAAGUUUUGGAUAUUGAAUUUUCUAUUAAUAAUAAUAACCACACUUAAUUAGACACAGUAUUUUAUAUUUUAAAUUUUAACUAUGUUAAUUAAGUUCUUCAAAUAUGACAUACAAGUGUGUUUUUUCAUAUUAUAGAUUCUAUCUAAUUGCACCAAAUUGAAUCCUUUAUUAUAGUACUACUACUGUUACUACUACUACUACCACUAAUAAUAAUAAUAAUAAUAAUAAUAAUAAUAAUAAUAAUAAUAAUAAUAAUAAUAAUGUUACAGGCUUUUGUCCUUCAAAUAUUUCAUUAGUCAAUGUUUAAAAAAAAAAUUAAAAUUGUACCAGAGAGGAUCCAACUGUCAGAAUUGAAUUUUGAUAUUAAAAUAACACUUCACAUCUAAGAGCUUAAUUGACAACUAAAAUAGCAAAAUACAGUAUAUUUAAAAAAAAAGGUGGAAUAAGCAUGAUCGUAAUACUAUUCUACUACCACUACUAACAAUAUAAUGCUACCUAUUCUUAUAUUAUAAAAUGAAAAACCAUUUAUUUUUAUGCAUUUUAAAAUUUAAUAUUUUUUUAGAAAAAAAUUAAUAUUUUGACACGUAUAAUUUUUUACAUUUAUUUAAUAUUAUUUUUACUUACUUUUUAUUUUUUUUUUAAAAAAUACACACUUUCUUAUAUCAUGAUUUAGAUAAAUAUAAAAGUACGUCAUCUACCAUUAUUCAGAUUCAACUAUUUCCCCAGUCAUAUUAAAAUUAAAAUUAAAAUGUUAUACAUAUUAUUAAUUAAUAAAAUAAAUAUCUGAAAAAUAGAUUUUGUUUUUCCUGUAGCGUAAGAAGAAAAAAAUUGGAGGUUGGUUAGAUUGAAGGUAAAAAUUAAUAUUAGUAAUCAGUGGCACAGAGAGAAAGAGAGAGAGUCUCAAUCCUUCAAGGGCAAGUCCUGGUAGUGUUUCUAUUCUCUCUCUUUUCUUCUGCUCUGAGAUCCGCCAUGUUCAUCUUCUUCAGAUUCUCCUUCCUCCUCCUUCUCCCUCUCUUCCUCUCUCCGGCGUUCGCUUCCGAGUCAGAUCAUAGGGUAAGGUUCUCCGAUUCCAUCGGCUCGAUCCAAUUUUCCUUCAUUUUCCUAUUAGAUCUAUCUACCUUUUAAUUUGCUUUCAUUUUUUCAGCUCCGUGUUUUUUCGCUUUUAUGUUUUACCGAUAUGGCUUUAGAUCUCAGCUGUUUUAUCACUCCUCUCCGUCAUGCAUCCCUAAUAAUAAUAAUUCACAUUUUCGUUUUCGAUGUUAUUGGAUUGUGAUUUCAACUCUUCCGUGUUCAGUUAUUAAUUAAUUCGUGAUAUGCGCUCUGUUUGGAAUUCAGAGUAUUUAGGAUUUUUCCCCUUCAUUGGACUCCGCAUUAAGUGAAUGUCAGAAACCAGUGCGGAAGAUGUUGAACGCUGAGGGGGUGCUUUGCUGUUAGUUUUCAUGCACAAUCUCUACGUGCAAGCUUUAUAAUUGUUGCCCACUCUUUUUGUUGUCAAUCGAUUUAGUAUUGCAAAUGUUAGAUUUCUUUUUGUCUAUCCCUUUUAUUCACUUGAAAAUUGCAACACCCGUGUUUUUGAAGUUUUCUUAUGUGUGUUUGUUUAGUUUUACUCUGCGUCAUCCAAUGUCACGCUAAGUUGACUUUUGGUAAAUGUUUGCGUGUUUGAUUUUGCAUUGGAGAGCCCGAGUUUGGAACUGACUUUUAGUUGAAGUAAAUUUAUGUACCUUUUCUCUGUCGGAUCGAAAAUUUUAUACUGAAUCUUACUGGUGACUUUCCUUUAGAAUGAAACUUCCAAACCCAAAUCACUCCACUUCAAAAUCAAAUCAAAGAAAAUUAUAAUUUGCAAAUGCUCGCCAAAGCACAGGCUGAAAUGAUGGACUUACCUAUGCAAUGGGAAAUUCGGUUAAAAACUGUUUAGUGCAUAGGAGCUUCUGCCUCGCUGGACGUUAGGUGCUUCCCUAUGGCGGAAGCUUGUCAAUGGUGGAUCGGAUUUUGACUGGGAGUAAUUUUGGUCUGUCGUAUUUGAGCUCCGUAUUAAACUCAUAACAAAUCAACAAAUCAAUCAAUGGUUACCCAUUCGUGAAAGUGGUAGUUGUUGCACUUAACAUAUAUUUUCUUCUAAAUGUCUUUAAGCAUUUGACGUCUGAAUCAUUUUAUCACUGGAUCCGUCCUCAUUUCCUUAAGCUAGGAGUAAAGAUAAAAUAUGUUUCUCUUGUUAGUAGCUUCCGGCCAUCAGUCCCUACCUGAUUUAAACAUGUAUUGCAUUUUACUGCAGUAUCAACCAGAUGAUCAUGUUAUCCUUUGGGUGAACAAAGUGGGUCCUUACAACAAUCCACAAGAAACGUACAAUUAUUACAGCCUACCAUUUUGCCGUCCACCUGGUGAUCCUGCUCACAAAUGGGGUGGUCUUGGUGAGGUCUUGGGUGGCAAUGAACUCAUUGACAGUCAACUUGACAUAAAGUUCUUAGGUAUGGAGGCUUCUUUCAUCCUAUUUAUUUCGUAAGACCUAUCAGUAGACAAACUGUCUCUAAAAGGUUUCUUUUCUCAAAUUUUUAAGGAAAUGUGGAAAAGACCACCUUUUGCCGUCUGGAGCUUAACGAAGCAAAUGUUAAACAGUUCAAGGAUGCAAUAGAGAAUAAUUACUGGUUUGAAUUCUUCAUGGGUAUGUUGCUACGUUCAUUUCUUUCACAUAUUACUAUAGAAUUGUUGGAAUAAAUGCAUUUUUAUAUAUGGUCAAGACAUGCUAGGCACUGGCAACAUUUUUUUUUUGGUAUCAGCCCUGCACAAUAUAGCCCUUAACUCUUAGUUAUCCUAUUAACUUCUGUAACUGGUAGGAUACAGUCUUCAAACUAAUUUCAGGGGAAAUGCCACUGGAAGUUGCCAACAAUAGAUUUUAGUUGUUAAUGAUACGUGAAAUCAUGUAGUCAACAUUGGUUUUGAGAGUCUCAGGAGACUAGUUCAACGGUGACAGGGAAGGGAGGCUUGCAGCUUGGGAUGCUUUAGUCUCAGCUGAAAAUGAUUUGUCAAAUUCCUUUAAAAUUGAAGAAUGGAUUUAACUUAUGACUUUCUCUGUAACUGUUGUGGCAUUGUGAUCUCAUGCGAAUAUUUUAAAAUUAACAGGCAUUGAUAUUAAAUAUUUUGUCAUUUGUAUUGACGGAGAAUUAUUCAUGAAUCAUGACCAGUUACAACAUUUCAUUGUGUGGGAAUAUAAAUUAUAAUGUAUAAACAAUGAAGCAUACAUUUUAGAUAUUAUCCAUGGUGACACAUUGACUGAAUUUGGAAUGCUUGAGCCUGGAAGAGCAGUGUCUUGUCCAAUUUUGGUCCUUCUAUAACUACAACGACAAGUCCAUGAGGCUGGGUGUUUCAUAAAGUACAUAGUUAUCAAAGCUGAAAGAAGGAUGAAGUUAAGAAUUCUUCUUGUGAAGUUAUUGCUUAAGCAUUCUUGACUUGACUGAUAUUAUAAUUGCUGGACGUAAAAAAGGGGUAAAGGAAUCUUGGUGUAGUAGACCUCCUCCUAUAAUGUGUGGGGUCUAGUGAUGGUUUGCCCUACUCUGUAUAGGUUUGUUGUAGGCAGCUUUACCUUGCACUUGCAAAAGGCCGAUUCCCAAAAAAUAUAAAAGUUGUGUUUAAAUUUAUCAACUAAGUAUUUUUCAAUAACGAAUGGUAGACAAUUGAUAUUAUAUUAUCUUGAUAGGUGUAAUGGUGUGAAUUUGGAUUGGUUUCAUGGUUGCCCCAUAUUUGUUUUCGUUUUUAUUCAUAAUUUUAUUGAUUUUCUGAAUAACUUACUCUUGGCGUUCUUUCUUUCCUUGGUUGUUCUAUUUGUUGUUGGUCGUUGAUGUGCUAAACACAAGUUCAGAUGAUCUUCCAUUGUGGGGUAUGCCUACUUUCUCUCUAUUUGAUCUAUCAUUGCAUCCGUUGAUCAUUGUAUAAGAUUCUUUUAUUCAUGUUUAAGGGUAUGUUGGGGAGCUACAUCCUGAUAAGAACAGUGAUAAUGACAAGCACGUACUUUAUGCUCACAAAAACAUCAAUAUUCAAUACAACAAAGACCAGGUCAGAAGUUAUUUAAGUAUCUUUGCCAUCUUUUUCAGUUUUGGGAUUUAUGGAGUUCACACUUAGGACCAUUUAUUGCAGAUCAUCCAUGUUAAUCUUACUCAUGACAACCCAAGGCCUCUGGAAGUAGGAAAAUCUCUGGACUUUACAUAUUCUGUGAAAUGGAGUCCUACAAAUGUCACUUUUGCACGGCGAUUUGAUGUAUACUUGGACUAUCCAUUCUUUGAGCAUCAGGUGAAAAUAAUUGCUGCUAGAUUUGUAUUUUAGAUUGAAGAGGUGUUUAUUGUUGAUUGCCUGCUAUCUGUUGAUUCGUGUGGAUCCUAUAUUAGCCAUGUCACUGAGAGAGCCUUGAUCCUUUUUCUUUCUGUAGAUUCACUGGUUCUCCAUUUUUAAUUCUUUUAUGAUGGUCAUCUUCUUAACUGGAUUGGUGUCAAUGAUAUUAAUGCGAACUUUGAGAAAUGACUAUGCAAAGUAUGCUCGGGAAGAUGAUGAUUUGGAAACUUUGGUGAGAAAUUCUGGAUGUUUUUCUUUUACUACUAUUGUUAUUGUUAUUAUUUUUUAAAACGUGGAACACAGGAUGGCUUUCCUGGAAAAUUCAUUUUGCUUCUGAUGUCAAUUCUUGUCCAACCCCGAAAUACUUCCAGGAAAGAGAUGUUAGUGAAGAAUCUGGCUGGAAACUCGUGCAUGGUGAUGUUUUUAGGCCUCCUCGUAGUUUGGUUAUUCUUUCAGCUGUUGUGGGCACAGGCGCUCAGCUUGCAUUGCUGGUUCUUCUCGUCAUCUUGUUGGCUAUUGUUGGGAUGUUGUAUGUUGGGUAAGUCCAUAACCUUAAACUAACUGUAAUAUUGAUCUGAAAAAUGAUUUUGUUAAUAAUAGUGUGAUUGCUUAAAAAGUGGAGUUAAUUGUUAAUAACUAGACAUUCCUUUAGUUUCCCCCCUGAUUAUAGUUUUUAUCCACUUCUUCUCCCUUCAUUAUUAUGUGAGGUUCAUUCAUUGUGCAGACGAGGAGCCAUCGUCACGACCUUCAUUGUAUGCUAUGCACUCACAUCUUUCAUUUCUGGUUAUGUGAGUGGGGGGAUGUACUCACGAAAUGGGGGUAAGAAUUUGCAGUGAACUAUACCACAUGUUCUCUGUUUCUGUUGCCUCUUGAUCUCUCCAUGAACGAUUAUAACUGUCAUUUUCAGGUAAAAGUUGGAUUAAAUCCAUGAUCCUGACAGCAUCACUGUUCCCAUUCAUGUGCUUUGGAAUUGGUUUUAUUUUAAACACAGUUGCUAUAUUCUAUGGAUCACUAGCUGCCAUCCCCUUUGGUACUAUGGUUGUUGUCUUUGUUAUAUGGGCUUUUAUUUCUUUCCCUCUAGCACUUCUUGGUACAGUUGUUGGAAGAAACUGGAGUGGUGCUCCAAAUAAUCCAUGCCGUGUGAAGACCAUUCCUCGUCCCAUUCCUGAGAAAAAGUGGUACCUCACACCAUCCGUAGUUUCUCUGAUGGGAGGACUGCUUCCCUUUGGCAGCAUAUUCAUCGAGAUGUAUUUUGUGUUCACUUCCUUCUGGAACUACAAGGUGAAUUAAAAUGCAAUUACUUGUUUGGGCAGUGAGCGUUUUUGUUUUUCUUCCUUGGUUUUGUGUAAGGUUUACUUAUAUUUUAUUAGAACAAGUAGUUAUUUCUUUAUAACAAAAAAUAUCUAUAUAUUGUCUUUCAAGUGAUAACUCUUAAUAUUCCUGUGAUAGUCGAGUAAAUACAUGCUCUGUUUCUUAUGCGUUUUUCCCCUUCCACUUUGACAAACAGGUGUACUAUGUAUAUGGCUUCAUGCUACUGGUUUUUCUGAUUCUUAUCAUUGUUACUGUUUGUGUGACAAUUGUGGGGACAUACUUUUUGUUAAACGCUGAGAACUACCACUGGCAAUGGACUUCUUUCUUUUCAGCUGCCUCAACAGCUGUUUACGUGUAUUUGUACUCAGUAUACUACUACUAUGUGAAGACGAAGAUGUCAGGCUUUUUCCAAACCAGCUUUUAUUUUGGAUACACUUUGAUGUUCUGUCUUGGACUGGGAAUUCUCUGUGGUAAGUCUCCAGUUUAAUUGUAAUCUCUGUUUGGAUUGCGAGUUCACUCUUUGGAAACUAGAUAGCUUAGUUAAGUUCUGAAUACCUCUUAUUAUAUAGAUAUAAAAGCUAGUGUGUUCUUAUCGCCUGAGUUGGCUUAAAUUUUUUUCUCCAAAUAUGCAGGAGCUGUAGGUUAUCUUGGUUCGAAUUUAUUUGUGAGGAGGAUUUACAGAAACAUCAAGUGUGACUAAGGCUUUUCGAGAAGUCUGAGACCAGAGCAGUUCCAUACGUUUGUUGCUGGACACAAUAAAUUUCUUCGAGGAGGCCUCUGGUCAUGUGUGGGGACCAAGCAGUGUUUACAGGUAGUAAGUUUCACAGGGCUGAGGAUGAGAUGUAUUCUUUCUCUAUAUUAGGGCAUGUAUUCUUUAGGGAAGCCCUGAGAUUUUUUUCCCUGACUUGAUUGAAAGCCUUGAUUAGAAUGCAGGGAUUGGUCUUUAUAAUUUAGAUAGUUAGCAAAAUAUCAGACUCGUUGCUACUUUUUUCAUCCUUUUAUAAAUAGGUGCCCUAUUGACGGACUGAUGUCGGAUUCCCCUCACGGUUUAGCUAUUGUACGUAGAGGGGAUGAAGUCACGGAAAUGAAUUUUGUGCUUCUGAAUUUUGUAUCAAAUCUGAAUAUCCUCUCUAACUACUUGUCUGCAUAACUCCUUAUUUGACAUUUAAAUCAUUGACGUUUUCCCCCUCUCCAAUACUUGUUAUGCUGCAUGCAUUUCUGACUGUGUCAAGGGGUGUGUAGACACGAACUUAACCAUGAAUAAAUGGGAUGAACAUUUUGUGCAGCUGCUAACUCGGUUUCUUAACGCUGCUUUGUUUUGGUCGUUUUCUGUUUCUUUUGGAGUUUUUUUUUUGGUAGAACUUGGGGCUGUAAAAUGCAGCACAGCAAGGAUAAAAUGCUCAGUGUUUGAGUGGAGCACUUUCAAAAUUGAGUACCAAUGAAACUGAUUUUGGAUUGAAAUCCAUUAAUUUUUAUUUUAAAAGUUAGUAGUAAAAAUUUAGUGUGUGUGUGUGUAUAUACAUAUUAUUUAUUUAUCCAAUGGAAAGGUUAUUCAACGUUAUUUUUAACUCAAUGUGGUUUCAUCUAAUUUAGCGUGAAUUAAAGAAAAAAUACUCGAUGGCUUUUGGGACAAAAGAUCUUGCUCCGUUUCCGCUACGUUGGAGAUUCCAGUGUUAAGCAUAAGCACACCACUUUCAACUGUCAAAUUAACAAAUAGGUGUUAGUUUCAAUACACGACUUCUAAAUAGCCAACCUCAGUAGUUAAGUAGUAGUAGUAUUAGCAUUGCAUUGAGGACCGCAAACAAGGUUCCGUAAAAGUACUGAUGGAAAAGUAUAAUUUAUGAGGUGAGGAUAAUUCCACCUACCAUCGUGAACAAACGAGUGGUGAUGAUAGAGAUAAGAUAGAUUGAGGCACGAAGCAAAGCCACGUGGCCGACUGGUAGCAUAUCAACUAACGUUGGUGCUCGUUGCAACCACACUAUUUCCACAAGCUCUCUCCCUGUUUCUUAUCAUUAAGAAGAAGCAGAGCAUCAGGAGUUGGUAAAGUAGCCUUCUCAUAAACUCAAACAAGGAAAUGGCGACCGCACCCGCUUUAUGUGGCUCUGUGUUGAACACCUCUUUUCUCAGGAAGCAGCCUGUGAUCAGCACAAGCCUCAAGUCAUUCCCAAACGCUAACGCCAUGUUCGGUGUGGAAGGAGGACGUGGAGGUCGUGUGACUGCCAUGGCCGCUUACAAGGUGAAGCUGAUCACCCCAGAGGGAGAGCAGGAGUUCGAAUGCCCAGAUGAUGAAUACAUUCUUGAUGUUGCAGAGGGCCUAGGCCUUGACCUUCCCUACUCAUGCAGGGCUGGUUCUUGNUCUUCCUGUGCUGGCAAAGUUGUCGCCGGCAAAGUCGACCAGUCGGACGGUAACUACCUUGAUGACGACCAAAUUGGUGAAGGCUGGGUUCUCACCUGCGUUGCUUACCCAACCUCAGAUCUUGUUAUCGAAACCCACAAGGAGGAAGACCUCGUUGCUUAAAUCUUAUCAUCAUCAUCAUCGCUGCCUCUACUUUAUUAAGUUUCUUCCUUUCCCUGUGCUGCCUUUUCUUUAUCUGAGGAUAGACACACCCAUUAUGCUUUAUUACGUACCAUAAAUACCUUCUUAUGCAGUAAUGUAAUUCAUUACUUCCCCUGUAUUAGCAGCUCAACAUGUUUUUUUGUUAACUAUAAUAAUCUUUUCCUUACAGUUUUUGCGCGCAAUAUCCUUUCCACUUUCCGCCCUUCAAUCACUGAUUAUUACCUUUUACGAUCACAAAUUCGAUCUUGUCAUUCUAUCCGUGUUAACAUUUUAUGGUAUUGGAUUCAUAAAUUUAUGAAAGCAGUGCUAAAUACUAUCACAUAUUUAUUUACACAUCAAUCUGCGCAAAUACAAUAUAUAAAAAUGUUUUUCAUUGCUCAAUUAACAAUACAUAUAAUAUUUAUAAGCAAAACAGAUAGAAGUGCAACUCAAACAUACUUGCUUGUUUACGUUUUCACGCUCCCGACAUUUUUAUAUUUACGAUCUUAUCAUUCUCUUUUUGAGGUGAAAGAGGGAAUAUCUCUAUCAGAGAAGAUAAUGGAUAAAUCCCACAUAAACUAUAAUCUGAUAAGUCUUUCUAUAUAUAUCAAUCCAAGAUGUAUUUUCUUUCCCAGGGUUUGGAGAGGGUGCUCUUGGAGCAAAGAUUUGUAACUAUUAAAAAUGAAAUAAACUAAAAGUUAAAAUGAGGUUCUAUUAUUUAAGUAAAGGUUAAAUAAUUUCAAAUCUUUCGUAGUAGCAAAGAGUCCACUAAAAUAAUGCAGAGUCAGCAAAGUGACAGAUUCUCUGCCAUUGAAGUAUUUUAACUUAUUCUAAUUUGAGAUUUUAUUGCUUUCUAUAUUUAAAACAGAGGUAAAAAAAUUGUUAAAAAAACAUUUUUCUUUUAACUUAUAGUAUAUUAACAAUAUUUUAAUGUUUAAAAGCCGGAAAAGAAGAGUAUGAAUGGAUAAGAUAUGCAUCGAAGAACAAUGUGAUGAUAAUUUUCAAGUGGAAGCCUGGAUUUUGCACAAUCUGUGGAGAUAACAGAGGCACAGAGAUUGAGGUACGUGAGGUUGCAUUCGACCAAGAUAUGGUGAUAACAAUCGUGAGAACCAGUUGUGAUAAAGCCACGUGUAAGUGGGGUUGCAUGUGAUGUUGGAACUGGUUGUAAUCACAAGCUCCUUAUCGUUAUCAACAAAGAAGAAGAAAAAUCCAUCAACUUUGCAAGCAAGAGGAGAAUGGCGUUGAUUCAUGUGGCAGUGUUGAACACCUCCUUCCUCUGGAAACAGCCAGUCCUGAAGGCAUUCCCGAAUGCUAACGCCAUGUUUGGUGUGAAAGGAGGAAGUGGGGGUCGUGUGAGUGCCAUGGCCAGUUACAAGGUGAAGCUGAUCACACCAGAGGGAGACAAAGAAUUUGAAUGCCCAGAUGAUGCUUAUAUUCUUGACCAGGCUGAGGAAAUAGGCAUUGAUCUUCCCUACUCAUGCAGGGCUGGUGCUUGUUCUAGCUGUGCUGGCAAAGUUGUGGCUGGCCAAGUAGACCAAUCAGAUGGUAGUUUCCUUGAUGAAACUCAAGAGAGUGAAGGCUUUGUUCUCACCUGCAUCGCUUACCCCACUUCAGAUGUUGUUAUUCUCACUCACAAGGAGGAGGAACUCACUGCCACUGCUUGACUCACUCAGUUUCUUCCCUUCUCAACCUCAUCAUCUUUUUUCUUUUCUGUCUUGUGCAAUUUUCUCAGGAUUUUACUAUAUAUAUCAUGUUUCAUUCUUUGUUUUAUGAUCGGCAACUUAUCACGAAAUUUUUUGCCUUGAUGCUGACUUGCAUUGUAGCUUCUUAUCUCAGUUGUUAUAGAUGAUGAUUUCAUGCAUUGUGUGGCCAAAGUUUUUAACCUUCAUAUCACUUAAAAAUGAGAGAUGAUAUCUGAUUGUGUCUGCUGCAUUAGGUAGAUUCCACUUGUGAUAAAAGAAUUGAAGCAGGCUAAGGAUAUGGAAUGGGAGGCAUUAGAGAAAAGAACAUCAUUGUAGUUGAAUUCCUUGCCAAAAUUAAGGAAUGAAGUCAAUCAAAUGCAAAUGGUUAUAUUCACACUUUUGUGUUUUCUUUCUGUUCUACCUUUUACUUUUCCCUAGUAUUGCCAGAAUCAGUCAUGUGAACUGCAUAAGGGUAGACCAUUUGAAGACAGAUCCUUUCUCAUUGAUGCAUAAUUGUCAAACGCUAAAACAUAGAUAGAGGGUUCAUCAAGUUCCACAUUAAGAAGAACGUUUCACAAACAUACCCAAAAUAUUCACAUUCUUCCCUGCCAAGCCCAUGAAACAUAUAUCAUAGGAUCCAUGUCUUGUAAAUCAAAUCAGUUCAUCCAUUGUCUUUACUCCUCUAGUUGAAUCAAGUAAUUGACCAAUUUUGUACUUCAAUUCUUCAGGUUUGCUUUCUUAGCGUUAUCUUUAAGGUAGCUGUUCCUUGUUUGAUCCUAACACACUGUCAUCUUCAAAAGAACUUUUACUGAGGUCCAUACUUCUUCAAGGAAACUCAAAGGUCCUCAAUUAUAUGAUAUGCAUCCUGAACAGCAGUACUGCAACACAAGUAUGAGAUGGAAAUCCGCUUACAGAUAUUGAAUUUGCAAGGGAAUAAAUGGAAGAAAGAAAACUGAACAACUGGAAUAAAUAGUUGAAAUAAGAUUGUUCAAGUAAUAACAGUGUUUCCAAAUUAAUCUUUAUUACUGAUGAAGUAGUUGAAGUGAGCAAAGUAGUUGAAGUGAGCAGAAGGAAAACGUGGUAAAAAUACGUGUGGUGAUAAGAGAUGAGUUGAAGCCUAUAACAGUGACACGUGGCAGAUAAGGUUGUACGUGAUUUCACUUCAUUUCAUUGGUUUAUGUAUCAGAGAAGAAGAAGAAGAAGAAAAAGAAGGAGAAGAAGCAGCAACAGCAAGAGGAGAAUGGCAGCUCUGUGUGGCCCUGCAUUGAACAGCUCCUUCCUGAGGAAGCAAGCAGUGAACAUGUCAAGCAUGAAGGCAUUCGAAAACGCCAACGCCGUGUUUGGUGUGAAAGAAGGACGAGGUGGUCGUGUGACUGCCAUGGCCACUUACAAGGUGAAGCUGAUAACCCCAGAGGGAGAAAAGCAGAUCAAAUGCUCAGAUAGUGAAUACAUUCUUGAUGCUGCAGAAGAACAAGGCCUUGACCUUCCCUACUCAUGCAGGGCUGGUGCCUGUUCUUCUUGUGCUGGAAAAAUUGUGUCUGGCAAAGUGGACCAGACAGACAAUAGCUUCCUUGAUGACGACCAAGUUGAUGCAGGAUUUGUUCUCACCUGUAUUGCUUACCCGACCUCUGACGUUGUCAUCCGCACCAACGUGGAGGACGAACUCAAUGAUUUUUAAAUCUUGUUUUCUUUCAAAUCUCAUGUACUGUUGAAUAAGGUGAAUCUUGUUGCUUUCCUUUCUGCUUCAGUUAUGAACUCUCAUGUUAUUGCUUUCCUUGCCUUCUUAUAUGAACUAUUAAGCUUCGAACGAAAUCACCAGCAAUUAUCAUGUGGUAUAUGUUAUACUUGCAAUUACACGACAAGUCCAUAUGUGUGGUCGUUCUUGAUUGGUAACACCAUUCAUUGACAAGGAUAAUUUUGUAAGCAAUAAAUAAAUUAAAAAGAAAUUUCAAUUUACAAUGAAUCCAUGAAAAACAUUUAGCACAAUUAAAGCAGUGGACGACCAUAAACCAUACUCAGAUUCCAUAUAUAAAGUUUUAUAUACUUACCAAAAAAAGGAAAAUAAGAAGAUAUAACGAGGCAUAAGAUGAUGCCACGUGGCAGAUAGGAUUGUGUGUGGCCUCAGCACCUCAUAUAGGGUAUAAUAAGCACACUAUUUCUGCAAAGUGAAGGUCAGAAUUCUUAUCCUUCAGCAAGUAGAAGAAGAAGACGACGACAACGACGCUAGCAGCAUUGAAGAAUGGCGUCGAUGGCACCCGCUCUCUGUGGCCCUGUCUUGAACACUUCCUUCCUCAGGAAGCAACCACUGAACAUGGCAAGCAUGAAGCCUUUCCAAAACGCUAACGCCGUUUUCGGUGUGGAAGGAGGACGUGGAGGUCGUGUGACUGCCAUGGCCGCUUACAAGGUGAAGCUGAUCACCCCAGAGGGAGAACAGGAGUUCGAAUGCCCAGAUGAUGAAUACAUUCUUGAUGUUGCAGAGGGCCUAGGCCUUGACCUUCCCUACUCAUGCAGGGCUGGUUCUUGNUCUUCCUGUGCUGGCAAAGUUGUCGCCGGCAAAGUCGACCAGUCGGACGGUAACUACCUUGAUGACGACCAAAUUGGUGAAGGCUGGGUUCUCACCUGCGUUGCUUACCCAACCUCUGAUCUUGUUAUCGAGACCCACAAGGAGGAAGACCUCGUUGCUUAAAUCUUAUCAUCAUCGCUGCCUCUACUUUAUUAAGUUUCUUCCUUUCCCAGCCCCAUUGUCUUUUUCCCUUUAUUCUGUGCCAUUUUGUCAGGAUAUAUACGUAUGUUAUGUUUGUUUAUGAACAACUUGUUUUGCACUAAUUCGUUAAUUACUUCACCUGUACGUUGUAGCAGCUCAAGUUCAUUGCUGUCUUACUGUUGUUGCCCACUUGAUUGAAUGACAACUCAAUUUUUUUGGUAGAUGAUUAUGAUGUUAGUGCGGAGGAUUAGAGUUCCCAAAUGUUAGGAAAUAAAUUGUGUGGUUCUCUUCUUAUCGCUUAGAAGAGAG